rnacentral:lncRNA from 1 species
GUGUCUUGAGCAAGUCCAAUGUAUAUCUAGAUGCCUGUCAGAGAUAUUUUCUUUUACUUUUGUGGUAUUGCAUGCUAAUGGUUUGUUUGGUAUUUUUGGAGAAGGAUUUAAACUUUGCAGGUAGGCAGCGUAUUUGCUGUCACGGCAAUCGUUACGCCCUUGGACUCAAAAAACAGUGAUUGCUCGCCUACCGAACCGAGGCUGUUAGCUCGUUCUGGUAUUCCUAGUUGCUUGGUGAGCUGAACUUUCAGUUCAAACUUCAAAGCAGGAAAAAUAUAAUCAGAAUGCUUUUUUAACUGCAAGUGGGGACUGAAGGCGUGAUCUAAAAUUGAACCUGUGUUAGAUACGGCAAGAGGCUGACUGAUUUAGUGAUGGCCACCAGAACAACUUUCUUUUAGUGAUCCCCAAAUUCUGUACCGUUAGGAGCCUAAAACCAGCCUGGUUCGUUAAUAGAGGCAAAUUGAUAUUCUCCUGACAGAAGUCUUAGGCGCAAGUGCGGCGACAAGUUUCGAUUCCGUCGCGAUCCACAAUUGAAUCGAUAAAUAAACCUUAAAGCCUAUGUAGUCUAAGGAGGUGGUUCAUACUCAAAUGGUUGGUUCGUUGCGUUUGUUGAAAAAGAAAAUGCUUCGGAUGAUGCACUCCAAUUUCACCUGAUACUAGCUUGUCAAAUUUGUAUUCACCCACCCUGCAUGUAUCACACCAAUUUCUGCAAUUUGCGCUGAUCCACUCAUGCCACGUGGUAAAGGAAAGUUUUCAUGCACAGAACGGUGACCUCAUCGCAUCACUCUCAUCAAACUGUUGUAAAAUUCUAAUGUGAUAUGAUAAAAGGCCUACCAUGGAAACUCAUAUAUAUAAAUGACCUCCUAGCUAAGGGCCGAGAAACAAAUAAGAGAUUCUUGCAUUAAAUUUGUUGCAGGAAACAAGAAACUGUAUCAUCCAAUUGUUUCUCAUGAAAAGGCAUUUCACGGUCUGAAACACUAAAAACAUUUUUCUGAAAGUCACAAGCACUUCCCACAUGCUUUCCUUCAGUGGGAAAACAGACCAAAUUGGUUUCCCAGAUAAAUCUCACAAGGUCAGAGCUAAAUUGGUGGUCAUUGGGAGUCGAUAAUAAAAGAAUAUCCAAACACGUGACAGAAAUAAGUUUAUCAGCUGAGCUGAGAAGAGCAAGGAUCUUGAUGACAUGUUCCUGAGACAUCAUCUCACAAGGAUAACAAUAUACGCAUUCUGCAGCUAAGCGAAUCAGUAAAUAAUUAAUUAUGCAUCAAAAAUCAAUUUUGAGUUUAAAGAGCUAGACACAAUUAGGUAUGUUUGUGAUCAUCCUAACCCAUAAUAACUAGUUAUUCAUUUGAGUAAAUUUUUAGCUCUCCUAAUUUUGCCAAUAAGGCACGGCAUAAUUUGCACUUGUAUUUUCCACGGAGGCUUGUACUUCCAUCAAAAUAAUCUAUUAUAUCUAUUAUAUAUAUAUAUAUAUAUAUAAAAACGGAGCAACCGCGUUGGUCCGUCUCCGUCUGCCACGUAGCCUUAAAAAAAAGAUAAGAGGCUGCCAUGUGUCCUCGGNNNNNNNNNNNNNNNNNNNNCCUUAAAAAAAAGAUAAGAGGCUGCCAUGUGUCCUCGGAAAAAAAAAAAAAAAAAGGCUCAGUGAGGAAGACAAACCAGCGGACAACGCGAAGGCCAUUGGGAAGGGUGGUGAUGCGGGUCUCCGGGGCGAAGAGAAUCGGGGUGGGGAGAGGCGGAGCAGAGGAAGCGGGGGUCUCGAUCGUCGAGGCACUCGAUCUUGGUGCUGACGGCGCAGGUCGUCGAGGCCGUUGGAUGAGGAUCGGACGAUGAUUUGAUCGUGGGGUGGGGGAGGAAGGGGUCGGGGAGGGUGUGGGCGAUCGGGUCGAAGGGGGCGAAGGACAGGUGGAAGACGGCGGAGGAGAAGAUGCCGGAGAUGGAGCGGUGGCAGCGGGUCUGGGUGAGGGCGAGGAUGGGGGAGGAGCUCAACUCAACGCGCUUCGCGCUUCAGAUUCGAAGCGGCGGCGAAGGAGGAAAUAACAAACAGGCCGCGUAUCGGACGCGGAGAUGAUAAAGAUCUUCCGUAGCUGCACCACCGGCAUCCUCUGGACAUCACCCGCUACUCCUCCCUCUUUGCCUACCCCUGCACUCUUGCCGUCUACCUUCGGACAAGUACAGCUAGACAGAUUCUUCCUUCUACGAGUCCCGCAUAUCCAAAAAAUAUAUUUAUCGAGGUAUUUGCAGGCACCCACGAUCGGACAGUGUGCAGGUACACGUGAUCUUAGCUGGGAUGGGGAAGAUGGAAAUAGCAUUUGUAAUUAUUUUAAUUUUAAUUUUCACCGUCCCACUUGAAUAUUAAUUAAAUAAUUCAGCUACUAUUCAAAUGAUGAUGAUCUGAAGUUUAAAGACAUUAUUCACUCCUCUAAGUUGUCCUUUUACUUAGACCUUUCCAAUCAAGAAUUAUGGUGGAUCAAGACAAAUUUUUACCCUGCGCAGCAAUGGGGCCAACCAUUAGAUUACUGUGGNNNNNNNNNNNNNNNNNNNNNNNNNNNNNNNNNNNNNNNNNNNNNNNNNNNNNNNNNNNNNNNNNNNNNNNNNNNNNNNNNNNNNNNNNNNNNNNNNNNNNNNNNNNNNNNNNNNNNNNNNNNNNNNNNNNNNNNNNNNNNNNNNNNNNNNNNNNNNNNNNNNNNNNNNNNNNNNNNNNNNNNNNNNNNNNNNNNNNNNNNNNNNNNNNNNNNNNNNNNNNNNNNNNNNNNNNNNNNNNNNNNNNNNNNNNNNNNNNNNNNNNNNNNNNNNNNNNNNNNNNNNNNNNNNNNNNAAAAUUUUUACGUUAGUUUGCCUUAUGCUCAUCUCUACCGUAAAACUCGCAGAUGCAUGGAAGCACCGUUCGUAGUUGCCAUCGGAAGAUAAUGGGCAUCGGGAUAGGAUAGUGACUGACUCACUGGAGUAGGUACCGGAUCCAUCCUUGCAAUCGUCAUCAUCGGAGAGGUCGUCAAGAUGGGGUAGUGGCCAUUAUAAGAAAAAGAGAGGGCGUCGGGGUGCAACAGUGGCCGUCGUUCGCAACCGCCACAGGAGAAGAGGGUGCUGGAUUGCAAUAGCGGUCAUCGUUCAUGACCGACUCGCAGGAGUAGGCAUCAGAUCUAUCCUCUCGAUCAUUGUCAGAGGAGGAGGGGGUGUCGAGGUGGGGCAGUGGCUGUCGUUCACAACUAUCGGAGGAGGAGGGGCCAUCGAGGUAGAAUAGCAGCUGGUUCGAGAGUAUUUUCUUUCUUCUUUCUAUUUUCGAGAGCCUCGAUCGCAUGAACAGAGAAGCUUAGACGAUGGCUGGGCUUUUGCAUUGGGUAUUUCCUUUCUUCUUUUCGUUCUUGAGAGUCUCAAUCGCAAUGGAUGCUUGAAGCGAUCGAAUAUUUUAAAAUUAUAUAAAAUAUUUUAUUUUUUAAAUAAAAUAAAAUAAAAUAAAAUUAUAGUUACAUCCAAAUUGUCUUGAAAGCACAAAAGGAAAAACUAAAGUAUGCAAGCAAUUUUAUGUGGGGUAGAAGAGAGAAUGAUAGCAUGUGUUCAGUUCUCGAAAGCCUCAAUUAGAGGUUUGAAACAGUAGAAUAUCUUAUGAUGAUAUAAAUAUUUUAAUUUUUUUAAAAAAUAAAAUAAAAUAAAAAAAUUAUAGUUAUACUUAAGUUGUCUUUAAAAUAUAAAAAGUACCUGGGGUAUAAAUAAAACUAGAUUAAAAUUGAGAGAAUGUUUUCGUAAUUUUUUUAACUUUUUCAUAUGAAUAUGAUAUGCAAAAUCAUAAUAUUUUAAUUUUUUCAAUGUCAGUCCAAUCUUAAAUCUCUUUUUUUACAUAUUGAAAUAGAUGAAGGCGAAAAUUCUAUUAUUGAUAUGACUACGAAGAAAAAAGAUAUACGUGGAAUGUAAAUAAGUGAUCAUACUUUAUUUGAUAACAAAGAUUCUGAAACAACUGAUGCUGAAAAUAUUAAUUCAAAGAACAAUUUCUCUAUCAACAAAAGACAGGAAUGAUUACGUUAUUUUUACUAUCAUGUUAUUUAAAUAAUCUAAGAUAAUAUUUUCUUUAAAAAAAUUUGAAACCAUCUAUGAUAUCUUUUAUAUUAUAUUAAAUUUUUAAUUUAUAAAAAUAUUAUUUGAAGUAAUAAUUACAUACCGUGCAAUGCACGGGGUUCUAAGUUAGUUCACCAAUAAUUUUCGAAUCAUCAAUCCAUGAUUUAAUCACUGAUUAAUCAAAAUAAUCAGUAAAUAACAUUACAAGAGUAUGCAUCAUCAGUUGUUGACAAAAACGUGCAGAAGGAGGCUAGCACUUACAUUUCAAAUUUCUUUUCUUAAGAUUGUUAAAUUUGAACUGUAUGCUUUAAAAAAGAAGAAAAAUAAGUUUGUAGCAGAUCUCCAAAACUAUUUUAAACGACCAAAUGGUUUAACUUAUUCAAGAUCCAACAUUGCUCAUAUUAAAAAUAAGUAAAAUAAAGAAUCAGGCAUUGCAUUAAUGUGGGUGCCUGUGUACCCAGAGAUGCAGCCACAUCAAAUCCUCUCUCUUCUCGCUAAAAUGCUAAAUUAUGAUUGAUGAGGAAAAUUGCAGCAUCUUGUUGGGACAUCAAGGCCUACAAUUGUAAGAAAAAACCACAUUAUAUGGAUGACAGCUUCAUAUUUUAGUAUGUGCCAGGAUGAUCGCUACCAGUUGUGUCAAAAAAAUGAAAGGGCCUCACAUUUGAGGCAGCUGGGAGCAUUCCUUGCAUUUAAUGUUACUACAGAAUAUCUAACUACAGUAAUCUGAUUAGGAUUUGUUUAAUGUCCAUAUACGAGCCACAGUUACAUCCAAACUAGCAUAUGCUAAGUAUGAGAUUGAACGCCUUCCAACAGAUUGGUUAUCUGAUUGUCAGUAAUUUGGCGGUGGAUUCCAGAUAUCCCACUUCUUAACAAUGAUUGAAACAUGCACUCUUUAUUUUCAUUAAUACCUAUUUCUUCCUACUAAGGAUACAAGUUCCUGGGUUGGGCUGCAUUGCCAAUGGAUCAAAGCCGGGCCAGAGUAGAAAGAUGGUCAAAGCUGUAUAAAUUAUAAAGAGAUUAUUGAAGAAAAAUGAGGCCAAUAUGAAGAAAUAACAUCCCAUUAUACACCUCAAACAACAUGAAAAACAGCUGCAAGGCGAGUAGCCAAUGCAUUGUCCCUCAAGCAUGACGGUGGGACACAGUCUCUCAAUCUGAUAUUGCCUUAAGUCAGGCAUCUGAUAUUAUAUUUCUUAAAGAAAAAUGCUUAUUUAGUUACAUAUAAAAAAAAAAAAGCUUUAGAUAAAAUAGAGAAAGGUUUUUAAUGAUUCAGGGCCAAUCUUCUGAGGACCACAACGUCAGUUUCUUUAAAGCUUAAACAUAUUAUUAACUCAAAAGUACUAGACAUAAUCACUACAACAAUUAGAAUGUCUUGACCAAUCAUUCAAGCAUGCUUUUGUACAUAUGUAAUUUUCUAACUUUUCCAAUCAAGGUCUUGAUCCUUUAUCAAUGAAAGGCAUCUCUUCCUUACUAAGUCCAUCUAGAUUCAGUUUAGCUAGGCUCUCAUUGCCAACCGUCCAAAUAUGUAUUAGGCCCUUCUAUAUCAAGGCAUCUGUUGACCUGUCUUCCACAAGCAAUGAUUCUCAAAUAGUUCUCCAUCAAUUAGUCUUCUAUUGGUGCAAUCUGCCCUCAACAUUCCUUUCACAUCCAUCAAUUAUGAUUGGGAUAUGCAACCCAAAGCUGCAGUUAUCAUAUUCAUUUUAAAUAUGCCUCGCCAACCAGGCUUCCCUCAUCUAGUUGGCACUUCUUACAGUUGGAAGAGGUACAGGGUUUGAACCCUGGUGGUGGUAUCUCCACCAUAUUUUUCAAAAAAAAAAGAAAGUGACACCACUAUGUCGUGGCAAUGAAUUGGUCAAGAAGAAUAUAACUUAGUAAUGAAGAUUUCAAUUCUCAGUAUAUCCUCUUUUCUCUUGCAGAACAGGUAUUCAAUGUAGUCAUCAAGAACUAAUAUUACAUUUUGUAAACCCUUGUUUUCAUACGACUACUAUCAGACUGUUGCACAACACCCCCCACCCCACUCCCCCGCCGCACCCACACCCCCCCCCCCGCCCCACACACCCCCCCCCCCCAAAAAAAAACGAAGAAAAACCUACCAUAAAUUCAAAUAGUAAUCACCCAAUUUAUCUUCUCAUCUGUAAACAUUACAAUAUCUAAACAAUAACUUCAUCAAAAGAAACCUGCAAUCAGAUAUAAAGCUCAAGUAAAUCCUUGAUUUAGGCACACAGGCCACAUGAACCAUGAUCAUACCACAACUAACUCUUGAACUUUGAUGUUGUCAAAGAUAAUCCCUCCUCAACUUUCGCCAGAUAGUUUUAUGGGGUGCUUCAUCAAAUGCAUUAUCUAGUCAAUAGAAAACAAUAUGCAGAUUCUUCUUCAGCUAGUAAAUGACAUCUACAUGAACCAAGUGUGAUGUUUGAAAAUAGUUUUCACUUCUUGCAUCUAUCUCCACAAAGCUUCAUGAUGUGCUGUUGCAAUUUUGUACAUCACUUUUCUUCUAUGAACAUUUAAUUUGCUACCUGACACUUGGUAUUUUGGUAUUUCCUAAUCCAUGAGUUCUCAAUAGUCAUUAAACCAUAACAAAGUAGCAAAAAUUUCAUUCAGAUUUUCUCGCUUAAUCAUCAUCAAUUUUCCCAAUACUUGAUUGCUUUUCAGCCUCUGUACAAGGAACCAUGAUUAAUAAGUUCAUCAAAUCCAUUGGCGUAAAGACAAAGAUAUUUAGCACAAUGAUAUUCCCAUAUCAAAAAACAAACUCUCAGCCAAUUGGAAGGGCCAAGACUUUGUAAUGUCACGAUUGGCACAUUAGACAUCUUCCAUGUGAUGUUUCUGCAUCCAGCUCAUGCCAACUAGCAAACAAAACCAUGUGUACCAAGAAUACCCUUGACAUAUCCCACAGUGGAUACCGAUGCAGCUUUGACAUGCUAAAGUAUUUAAUGGAUGUGCAUUUACGUAUUCAGAAACACUACACUACACUGAUGCUGACUUGUUUACUGAUAGCUAAGGUUGCACCUCGGGCACGUUAGUUGGGCUGUGCCAUGCUAAUUGUGUUGAAUAGAAAUUUUAAAAUAGGGAAAAGAUAUUGAAAUAUUUUUAUUGAAUUAAUAUUUGUUGAAUUGAAAUCUCUAUUAUUCAUAAAUUUCAAUGACACACUUACACAUAAUUUAGCAAGUUUAAAGAUGCAAUUAUAUUAAUAUAUAAGUAACCUAUAUGAAACAUAUAUAUGAUUUAUUUAUUUAUAUAUCAUGUAGGGUCGGGUCACGUUUAGGUUGGGUUGGGCUGGAUCAGGUUCAGAUUGGGUUGGGUUAGGUUCAGGCUGCGUUGAAGUUCAACCACAACCCAACCCUACUUGAGGUUGCAUUGGAAUUUUUGAGCCUAAGCCUAUCUCAAGUUGAUAAGACCUCACCCCAACCAUGUCCAAUGAGUGCGUCGCGCAGGCAGGUUUGGACUGAGCCCAAUCCAAGUUGCAACCUUACUGCCAACACACUCACAUGCAGAGGUACCUAAGUUGCAACCUUACUGCCAGCACACUCACAUGCACCAGUAUAUAUAGCAUAAAUCCAAAAACAUUCACAUUGAACUCUUUCAAUCCUUCUCUUCUCACAUCAACAUACAAGUGCAAUAUUGGCACUUUUAAAAGCUUGCCCAGAAGCAUAAAGAAAAAAACCUCCACCUUGGGGCAUCCAGUUUUGGUUUAUUGUAUAAGACUCGAACUUUUGUCCAAUCAAACAUAUACCUCGUUUCUCAAUCUCCAACACAACAAAGAGGUCUAUGCCUCAUAAUACUUUUGUGCAAUAUCCCUUUAACCAUAUCAAUGAUAUCAAGUUGUUGGAUUCCUUUCAAGGUUUGACGGUUUGGUUUUGGUGUUGGUCAACCUUGGCAAGUUUUGUCUUCCACAGUUUCAGUUUUUUUGGCGGAUGCAACCCUAGUUUUAAAGUUUCUGAUAAAAAAAAGAGAAACUAAUAAUACAAGGAAAAAUAAGAUCAAAUUGAAUAAACCAAUGAAACAUAUAUUACGAAGUUUUGAAGAAUAAUGCAUUGUUUGUAAACAUCAAGCUUAUGGUUUCCUUUUGUUAAAAUGCCAAAAGCCUUAAAGCAUGAAGAAUUACAAAAAUCUUGGAAAACAAAUGAAAUGAAAAAGAACCAUUCUUUGAUAAUAAUCUCAACAGAACCAUGUAUUGAUUUGAAAUUUUGAAAUAAUAAUUUAUAUCAUAUGAGUCUGUUGACAUAAUUUAAAUUCUAGAAAGUAUGAAAAAGACAAUGAUUGGAUAUAUCCGGGAAGGGACCCCAGAUAUAUUAAGCUAAGAGCUAAAUUGAGUAUUUAACCUAAGAUCUAGCAAAUUCAAUCUUAAAUCUUGUAAUAAGCCCCCUUUUCUCCAUUUUCUCUUCAAAAACUAUCUCAAAGAACUAAAAGAUUCUCACAUAUCUGGGAAGGAACCCUUUGUCUUAAAAUUUCUUAGAACCAAACACCCAAAUGUUUUAUCUUCUUUAAGAAAAUUCCAAAAAUAUAUGGUUAAUGUUAAUAAAGUACUUCCACAGCUUAGAUUUAUCAUCCAUAUAUAUUUCAUAUUUUUAACUGAAAAAUGAAAAGAUGAUCAAAUCGACAAUAUUUAUCAGAAUUUACUUAAGAACUGGACAAAGAAAUUCAAAACUAUGGUAAAUUUAAAAACAAAUGUACAAGCAAUCCAAGUAUGAUAUUAAAUAUCCACAGCAUGAAUAAAAUAGCAUAUACAAUCAGCUUCAGCCGAAAGUGGUUGAAACCACUUAAAUUAGACCAAAGUGGUCAAUUUUGCAAACCAGCCAAAACUUACUAGAACUAAAAACUUCAGUCAAUUUCAAUCAUUUCUAGGCAGAGGAUUAUAACCACAAGGCCUAGGUCCCUAUCUCCUUGGUAUAGAUUUAGAAAAUGGUUUGGAUAAAUUUGUCAUGCUUUUGCGUUAAACCAGUGGCACUAGCUACAAUUAUCUGAAUCACGCAAAUGUGCUUAUUUCUUGCCCUUCUAGGCUCCACCAAUUAAUUUGUAUCUCACAUCUUCACUUGUACUAGCUUUGCUUUAAGGCUUUUUAAUGCAGCAUGAAGUGUGAAGGAUGGUUCUCGGAGUCAAACACACAAGUGAAGGUAAAUUAGAUCGAAGAAUCCUUUGCCCAGCGAAGUUCUCUCUAAAAAAUUCUUAUUAAUAUGUAAUACUUAACCAAGUCUCCUUAUAAUAGAUCAGAAGCAUAUAUAGGAUCCGACCCCCUAACUCAGCAUUGAAUCCGAUACAGAGGCUCAUAUUAGAAAUAAGAAAACAUACUUAAACUAUUGAAUCCAAGAACACAGGAACUUAGUGAAAAAUCAGUGAUGUCUCUAAUGGAAAAUUCAUGGGAAAAUCAGGUAAAAACCUCUUAAUUCCGUAUGCUCACAAGUGAAGUCUUCGCCCAUGGAGCCAUUGGCUCCUACAAAACUUGGUGUUUCCACCUGGUCAUAGUACCUACCAGCUGUACUCUGCACUGCCAUUACUUCCCAAAGAUUUAGCUUCUAGUAGCUUUUGAUCCUUAAGAAACCACAAUAAUUGCAAUAUGCUAGGAAACUUCUUAAGUUUCUUGGCCAUCUCAUUUUUGUUGCACCUCCACAUGGUCCAAAAUUCCAUUUGCGCUUUAUAACAUGCACGUAGAGGCAUAGGCACCAGAUUUAAAACUCUAAUUGACAACUAUAGGCAUAAGUUUGCUUGUGUUGUUCAUAAUGCACAAUUAGAUUUUGAAUAUUAAUAGCUGUGAUUUUUUAGCCAAUGAAGGUGUUUCAGAUGAUGGAAGUUGGCCAAGUGAAGAAAAAGUCUUGACCAGAGAAAGAAGCAACUUAACAAUCUUGUUGUUUGUGAUGUAUGGUUACUUUGGAAUGGAGAGAGUCAGCAAUUGAGGGCCAAAAAUACAAAGUUCUUAUACUCCAUUUUUUCCCAAUAUGAAUUAGUUCACAUUGAUUGGUGUAGAACCUUAUUUUUCUAUUUGGGCCAUCACAUGUGACAGACAUAGCAUUGUACAAUACAAUGUGGUAUCAUGCUGGCCUAUGAUUGUCAUGGACACACCAUGCUGUACUUAAAUCUUUGUGCAUACACAAUUUUCACAGAUCACUUGGAUGGAGCAUUAUCAAUUGACCAAGCUAUUCAUGAUCAGUUUGUGCUAGCUCAAAGUAUGGCCCUGUACCAGCUUGAUCCAUUAGUUAUUAGCCAUUCCUGAGCUUAAGAUCUUAGCUCAAAAUAUUAAUGAGCUGAGCAUGAGAUCUUCCCGAUUAGCUCAGCUCAAUUAAGCACGAAAAAAUAUACUAAUAUAACUAAAAUUUAUUUAGUAAAAUAUCACUUCAUAGUUUAUAAUUAUUCUGAAAUAUAAUAUAUUGUUAGUAAUUAAGAGAGCAUCUCAACUACAAGAUAUCAACCAAAUGGCUAAAAUAUUUACAUAUAUUUCAGACGCUAAAUUCAGAUACAGUAGAUGAGAUAUCAAGGACUCUUAGAAACUCCAUAGCCAUAGCAUUCCUGAUCCUCUCAAGGCCGCUAGCCCCGUUUCUACAAGUCUUGAUUUUUCCUAUCACCAGGAUCAACUGGAAUUCAACCAAGCCAGCCCUCCUUAUGAAGUUGCCAUGGAAAUUUCAGAAGAAAAAAAGGUGAUUCGUAUUCCUUAUCUUUGGCUAUAAAGCACCUCACCAAUGGAUUAAUCAAACCAAAAUCGACUGACCAAGCCAACCCUCAGAUAUCCUGCAUUUGGAAAUGCCUUAUUUUUCUCAACCUUAGCCUUCCUUGAUGCCGCCACUCCCAUCUCCCCCCCCCCCCCAUCCUCUCUCUCCCUCCUCCAUGUGUCCAAGCCAUGGAACUCUCUUUGGAGCUAGAGGUGAUGGAGAGACCAAAGGAGAAAUCCUCUUUUACCAAAAAAAGGGAAAUCCUCCAUCGCCUGUUAAUCUCACUGCCAUCUAUGUCAUAGCCUAUGGAUCUAACAGCAUAAAAAGAGAUGGUCCUUGUCUCUGGUUUUCAAUGGCCAAUACUUGAUCUCUAGCAAUCCAUGACAGGAUCACCAUCGCACAUCACCUCCUUCCCAUUCUCAUCCUUCGUCUGAAUCUUAACUAAGCCACUCACAUUUUAGGGAGAACAAACUUAGAUCAGGCCAAAACAAAAUGAGUUCAAGCUGCAACUUUGGGGAUCGCAACAAAUGCAAGCUGAGUUUGAGCUAUAGUUAUUGACAAAUGGAUCACCCAAAUAUGAUUGAUUUAACUGAAAAAGUCAAUCAUAGACAAUCACAGUGGUUUCUAUUGAAACUUAAAAAUUAUCAAAGCCUAGACAAAUCAAAUGUAUUUGGUCUAAUAAACAUGCAAAGUAAUAGAAAACAAAAGGAUAUAAAAUUAUUCUUUCUUUCAUCUUAUAGUAGUCAUAUAGGAUGCAAGUGUCAUGCAUGGUUUUGGAUAAGAGAGAAACACAGAAUCUUGAGUUGCUGCAAUUUCCUCAAGCAUAGAAAUAGUCUCAUCUAAUAUGAUGAUCUCAUGAAACCUUGGACCCAUAAAUAUAAUUUAAGGUUUUCACAGUCAUUCAUCUGAUUAACGAAUGCUAAAGACUUAUUAAUUUAGGGUUUCAUCUAAUAUGAUAAUACCAUGAAACCUUACCAAUUUAAGGUUUUCAUAGCCAUACAUUUUAUUAAUGAAUGUUAAAGACUUAAAAAACAACCAAUGCAAGCUAGCUUUUGCUGCCAUGACCAUAUGAACAUUUGAUGUGUCUAACAUUACUAAAACAACAGGCAAACCAUACCACUAUAAUAUGAUCAUAUGUUCCACAAUCAUCAUUCUCUUAACACAACCACCAUUGCAGAGAUAUGACUAAUCAAUAUUUUCCCCCAAAAAUGCAAUGCUCACAGAAAAGGAAAAAAAAAAUCAGUUCCUGGUCAUUGAUAAGUGUCAUAGUCUUAUGGAAAUAAUCACAACCGAACAAGAAAAGAAAUGGUAAACUUUUUAUUGACUAACCAAAUACACACUAUGGAAGAUUUGAUGCUCAAUACUUGAAUCCUUAGAACAUGUUUGGAGCAACCCCAGAGAUAAAGCACCACUGUUAAAGUUGGGUUACUCAAAGACCUAAUUUGUUGGCAAUGCUAGUGACUCCAACCCAGGAUGAUAACACAUAGGAGACAGCUAAAAACCAUGUAUACAAGAUAAAACUUCCAACCUACCUUCUCAAUGACAAAGGCUGAUGCGCUUUGGGAACCAUCCAUCUCCUCUCUAUGAAGCAUGAUGAGGCACCCUUGCCGCCAUGCUUGAUACCUGUGCCUGCACCUGAGCUGCCCGUACCUUGGCUGACAUCGCCCGAUGGAAGUACUGGUCCCUCGACAAUGCCCUCACGUUCUUCAGAUACAUCUCGAACGGGAUGGACCCCUCCUGCACCGCCUUGUCCAGCGAGUAAAUUGUGUCUUCCACCGCCAAGUCUGCCGCCGUGCAUUCCAGCAUCUGCCUCGACAGCACAUCUGCAGGCUCAAAAGCAUCAUCCACAUCCACAUCCCCAGCCCUCCUCCUCCUCCCCUCAUUCUCCCUCAGCCACCCCUCCAGCACAUCCGUAUUCAUCAAAAUCAACUGCAACUGCUGCUCCAAUCCCUCCUUCUCCUCCAACAUCUCCCUCAAACCCUUGGAAAGCUCCUCCUCCCUCCGUCUCAACUCCGCCUGGGUGCUGAACAGCCCCUCCAUCUCUGCUUCCCGCGCUCUCCGUAAACCUGCCAUAUCGCCGUGCACCAUAUCGAUGAUCUUGCUGGUUGCAUUGCGGUGGUAGACCUGGGCCGCGUCCUCGGUCGGCCUUGCGGCCGCCGCCUGCGGCGAGGGCGGGAACCGCCCGCCAUAGGGCGACAAAGAAGAGUAGAUCCGAGACGAGAAAGAUGAAGAUGACGGAGACGGAGCAGGGGACGGGGAUGGGGAAGGCGACGGAUUGGGGUUAGGGUUGGUGGGAUUGUUACUGGCGUUCUGGCGGGUGUAAAGGGGAGGAUCGAGGCCGAAGAGGUGGGAGAGGGAGCGGACGAGAUCGACGAGGUUGGAGGAGGGGAAGACCCAGGACCGGAGGUAGGGGACGAGGACGGAGCCGGAGCGGUCGACGUGGGGGUGGCCGGGCUUGACGACCAUGUCGCGGGUGGGGGAGAGGAAGACGGCGGGAGGGGAGCGAGGGUAGGGCUCGAGGAGCCAGAUCACGGCGGGGAUGUUGUAGACGGCGCCCUGGUAAGCGAUGGGGAUGGUGCCGUCGGCCUGGAGGAGGUUCACGGUGCGGCCGUCGUUGUGGGUGAAGGCGGAGGCCUUGGGGUGGAUGGAGGGGAACGACUCGGCCAGCGCCACCAGGUGCUGCCGGAUCAGCCACUUCACGUCUUCCGCGUACGGCAGCGCCGACGGCCCGCGCUGGGAGAGGGCGGUGCUGAGGAACUGCUGGGCGUCCUGGGCGCCCGGCGCGCCCGGGACCGGCAGCGGCGGCGGAGGGGCCAUGUAUAGACGAGGGUGGGGGCGGACCGGAGAUUCUAAGCGCCGGAGCAACGAGUUCUUUCCCUCUCUUGAUUUCUCCCGUCUAUCGUCUUCUUCAAGAAAGGUUUUUUUUUGAUGGAAUCUUCUUCAAGAAGGUGUUUUCUUGUUUUUCUUCCUUCGCGUCGAAGGAUUGUGCGCUUAUUCUCACGGCAGGUGCCGUCAUAUAUUUAUUCGGAGGCACGUGCGAUGCACCUGCACGACCUACGAUCUGUGCGACGUUCCGGAUCUGAUUUUCCUAAAAUUAUUUUAUUAAUUUUAUUAAUUUAAAUUGGAGGUCAUUGAGGAGAAAUAUGGAAAAUAUAUACAAAUGUAGUAUGAAGCUAUAUCUGUAUCUAUUUAAUUAUUUGUGACUAGAAGAGGCAAUUGAAAAUAAGAAAAAAAAAGAGAAAAAUAGUAGAAAAUCAGAGACCCAAAUAGGAUAUGAUAGGAGAAAUUAUAUCUUGGUGCACCACAUCAAUCAUAGUUAUUCAUUCGUAUGAUAGUGCAUCGAGAUGAGCAUUUGAUAAAUGAGAUUCAUAAAAUUAGUGUAGUGCACCGUCAAUAGAGUAUCAAUUUAUAUAUUUAAGAUAGAUCAGAUAAUAUUUAUUUAGAUCUAUUUUUUCAUAUCUGAAUAUAACUAUAGAUAAAAAAAUUUGGAUAUUUGGCUCCAUCAAAAUAAAAUAGAUAUAAAUAGAUAAUUAUCUAAUUUGUGUCUGGAUAUCAAUCCUAUUUAAUUUUAUAUAGUACUCAUAAAUAUUUAAUAAAAAUAUGUGACACAUUAAUACGCUAUUAACUUGAUUUUCUAUAUAUUUAAUAAUAUCUUUGAUUUUUUUGAUCAUUAAAUUUAAUUAUCUAUCUUAUAUCCAUAUUUAUAUCCAUAUUUUUACUAUCUAAUAUGUAUCCAUAUCAAUCUAAAACACAUAUGGAUAUGACUUUUUGCAUCUAAUUAAUGUCCAUAUCUAUAUCUAUAUUUAUUAAAAAAAUAAAUAUAGAUAUGAAUAUAUUAAUUUCUGACUCGAUUUUGGCCCUACGGAUAAACAACUAAAAGGGAGAUAAUGUGGUCGUUAAGUUCAUAUUGAGCACAUGCUCAGCGUCGAAACUGAUAUAAUGAUACCAUGAAAUUUGCAGUUUACUUUUAAAUAAUAAGGCAACAGGUAAGAUAUAUCCAAUAUAGUAUCCAAGCAUUGGUCAGAGCAAGCCUUCCUCUUGUCCCGGGAGACUUCCGUAGGCCAAGGAACAUCGUUGUCGAAAGCUUCAAAGGCUUUCUCAGCUCCCUCAAGUGGGGCAUACUUCAUGAAGCUGCACAUUGGAAAGCCUAGAACUCGCCUAUCGCGUUCAAACUAUAUAUCACAUAUGCUAGGCCUGGGACUCCAGGACACCGCAACUACAGUGAUGGCAAAGUUCUUAAAACUCUAGUCAACCUUCAUUUCUAGCUUGGCUUGCUCAACCAUGAACAAAAUGAAGAACCGAUUCCAUAUAGAAAUGGUACCAAGCACAAGCAUUUCCUUUUGAAUUCAAGCCCUGUGCUCCUUUUUCUACCAAAAAAAUGGUACAAGCAUACGAUUAUAAAUUAAAACCGUGUGUCUGAAAAAGAGCGCAUGAAUAAGUCCGAAAAGAAGUGCAGCCAACUAAAUUAAUACAUCUUUUGACAAUGAAAUUAAUUUUAAACCUUUUCUGCAUGUCCUCCAUUACUUUGCUCAUGAAUAGCGACCAAAUUCACAGACAAUGGGUCUCUGAUACUGAAAGAUGAUAAAAUAAAAGAAGUCAGACUCUAUGGCGGAGUCCAAAUGCCAAAGUUCGCUGGAACAAAGGUAGAGAUACAGUUGAGAUAGAGCCUAGAGGCGAGUUUUUGUAGUCAGAGGGACUGUGAGAAGAAGGGAUAGGCCCAGAGUCUGUUCGGUCCGAGGGACGGGCCUGGCCCAAUAUAGCUGUGCACCUCUUAUUUUCCGUGGCGAAAAGGAAUGCGUUUGUUUUAUAUGUAGUUUUAAGCAGCAGGCAUUAACGGGGGGAGAACGUUUCAUCUCGUCAAAACAAACACAAACAGCAAGAACGAUUGUACCACCGCCACCACCAUUAACAACAAUAAUAUUGAGGGAGUUCUUGUGCUCGGAGGAGUUUCCCCUUUUUCUUAAACUAAUUGACAACUAGAACACAAUAUCCGAUAGAGUGGUGAAGCUAAAGGGAACUGAUCAAGCGGCAUAACAUCGAUCUUAAUAUAACUAACCUGGUUAUUAGAUCUGAGAUAUUUAGGAUAUGUUUGGUUGGAGGGAGUUUAACUCUGAAACGGGAAUAAAAAUAUAUGACUCAUAUUGCAGCCAUUUAGUUGGAGGGAAUAAGAAGGCAUCAAUCUAUCAAAAUUCAAUUUUGACUCUUCUAUCACCAUGCAAUUUCUAUUCUAUUAGAUUUACUUUACAAAAUUAAUUAUAUCUUUUUGUUUAAUUGACUUCUGAUCUCAUUUUUGAUUUUCAUCGUAAAUUAAAUAUAUUGGAGCAUAUAAUCAUUUUGAUUUCCAUUCCAAUUUAUUAUGGUUUUGAUUCAUAUUUCGAUUUCUAUUAUGAACCAAGUGCAUUCAUAAUCAUUAACUUCCAAAAAAAGUAUGUAAUUCGACGUGGCAUGACAAAAAUGUAUUAUAUAAAAUCUAAUUAAUUGAUAAAGUUUUUAAAUAGUAUUUACAAUAAGAGUGUGUAAUUUACGGUGGCAUGACAAAAAUGUACUACAUAAAAUCUAAUUAAUUGAUAAAAAUUUUUAAAUAGUAUUUCGAUUCAUAUUUCGAUCGUGAAUCAAAUACAUCCGUAAUCAUUAACUUUUGAAAGGGUGCGUAAUUUGACAAAAAUUCAUUAUAUAAAAUCCAAUUAAUUGACAAAAAUUUUUAAAUAGUAUUUACAAUAAGCUCCAAAUAAGCAGGGAUUGCUAAUAAUAUCCUUUAAAAGCACAUGCUUAUGGCCAUCUAAGACAAUUCGGCUGGCUAAUGCAACAUUACCCACACUGUAUUCGAGAGUAUAUAGGAUUUUCUAAUAUAUGUAAAGCUUAGGACCGCAUGCUUAGACAGUAUUUGGACGAUCACAUUCAUAACAAAAAUCUUUUUUUUAAUAAAUCUGAAUUUGAAUUAAAAUCCUAGCAAAAUAUGUCGUGAUCAAAAGAAGAAAAAUCCCUUUGCCCUCAUGCAUGACAAUAUAAUCCUAGAAAAAUCCUAGCAUUUCCUCUUUUCAAUUUUUCCAGUAUGGUGCUCCUUAUCGACGCCUAACUGUUAUGCCCUAACCACUCCUGCAUGCCUGUCGCUACCUGUCACCAUUAUAUUACCAGUGCUGCUGCCACUUGAGACAAAAAAAUAUUAACCAUUCAACUUGAGGCUUAAAUAGCUUGCAUUGACUUUGAUUUUGUUUGAUCUGCAAAUCUUCAACUGAUAGUGAAAAGAUAAUGACAAAUGAUUGAGAAUAAGAUGAUAACAAAUGAUUCAAACUUUGGCCUGGAUCAUUCACGUUAAAGAUAAUAGCCGGGAAAAUUAAUCCAAUAAUUGGCAUGGAGGUGAUUUGAACUUAUGAUCUCUGGCAAAUCUGGACUCCAAAAACUUGAGCUAAUAAAGAAAGCAUCAACAAUAUAUCACAUUUAACAAACCCAUUGCUUGUAAUUUCAAUUACAUAUGGUUUCCACUUGGAUUCAAGAAUUGGAACUUCGUUCUAUCCAACCACUUGUUGCUGAAGCAAUAAUAAACCAUCCUCCCAACUAUAAUAAUAAUAAUAAUAAUAAUAAUAUUAUUAUUAUUAUUUAAAAACUAUCCUACCCUUAAAAAUGGCCAAUGGAAGUCUCUCUUCAUGGGUAUAGUUCAGUUGGAGAAUGGCAAGGGGAUAAGGCGUCCAUCCUCCUACUGCACUACUCAAAUUAAAUUCAAACACUAUAGCGGAGGAUUGCAAGCUUUACUACUUACAAAAUGGAUAUGCCAAAUAACAUUUGAAUUGGCGCAUUCAGGAUUCGAUACCAUAUGGUGCAACAAAAGGAAAAAAAUAAAAUAAAAUAAGAAACACAAUACAAAUACAUAGAUCAGCCUCAAACCUACCUCUACGGGGUGUGCAAGCUUCACUAUGAGAGAAUAAAAUAAAAUCAAUACAAGAGGAACUCACCACUCAAUCUUUAUACAAGAGUCUCUAAAAAAAAGUCUCAAAAUCUUCAUAAAAGCUCUCUGAAAUCUCUGUUGAAGCAUUUCUGCACCUCUAGGACGUCACCAGCUCUCCGACACAAUAAACGGUUCGUCAAUCGGAGCUAUAUAGGCUUUAGAAUCACAAAAAUACUAUUUCAGUAGGAAUACAGAGUCUCAAUCAAGCCUAGAACCAUUCGUGACCAUCCGAUCGUGACCGGCUCGCACCAAAGCCGUCCGAUUGUGCAAAAUAUCCUAUGAUCAUGUCGGAUCAUGCUUGGAUUAGCUCUCAGCCAUCCGAUCGCAAUCGGCUGCGAUUUAAGUCGUCGGAUAGGGAAGAAAACCACCUGAACCAUGCGUGGAGCGCGACUUCGGUCCAUGCAGUUCCCAUGGACUGUCAGUGCCCCGCGGUCCACGGUGGACCACGUGGGGAUGCUGGCCUGGGCGCCCGCGAGCGUUGGGCCAGCUUGCCUGCAUGUGCAGGGCCGACCCAUGCGCGUGCCGGUGCUGGGCCUGCCCGGGCGCUGGGCCGCACAUGCAUGGGUCUCCGCCGAGCUCGACGGCACUCCGCCGGUCCCCAUCGGCCCGCUGCCAUCUCAUGCACCGUACCGUCCUUCUUUCGCACGUAUCUUCUCCGUUUAGACUCCGUUUGGGCUAUUUUUGGGCUUGUUGGAUUUCGUUCGUCAUCUUGGACCUCGCUGUGAGCUCAAUAUCGAUUGAAUCUCGAGACAUAUUUUUUAACAAUUUUCACAUCGACUCGAUAUUUGAUUUCUACCUAUCUUUGAGAACCUGUGAUCUAUCUCACCCCCACACUCUGGGGCAUGCCUGCUGUCUCAUGGAUGGACAAACGUGGAAGUCAAGCCAGGCCACUCGAUCCCACCUCCAUCAUGGGCUGUGUCUACUCUGACCAAAGAUCUGCUCGGGAUAUCAUCCUGCGGUAAUAUGAAUCUCAUCCUACGACGUCGCCUCUCGUCCUCUUGAGUCUUCUAUCUCAUGCCCGAUCCACCUCCACUUGGAGCUCCACCUCGUACUAGGCUCCACCUGGCUCUUGAAAUUUCACCUCGCACUAGGCUCUUCGUCAAGUAGUAAUAUCCUCUCAUCCUCUUCUUUCCUUCCAGAAUAAUCCUAUCGCCGCACAGUACCUUCAUGAUUCCUCUACCAGCUACCAUCCUAUAGCUUUUCGAAUCCAGUCUGCUCAAUGAGAUAAAAUUUCGUCUGAAAUCGGGUAUGUAUCGGACCUCCCCCAAUCUCCUCAUUAUACCAUCAUGUAUCUUCUAACUGACCAUCCCGAUGCCUCUGAUCGCACAGCUCGAUCCAUUCGAUAGAUAAACAGUAUCCUCACUGCUCUCCAAGGAGUCAAACUGCUCCUCUCUGCAACAUACAUGAUAGGUGCAUGCAGAAUCUAAAAUCCACAGCUAGGAAGAAGUAGAUACUUCAUCAGAUAUCUCUAGGACAUCACCCUUUGAGUCGCUACGGACCAUCGCUGCAGUAGCCUUCGUCUGAUUCUUAAGUUAAGGGCAAUCUCUGGCUAGAUACCCCAACUUGUCACAUCGAUAACAUCUGAUUUUGCUCAGAUCUCUCAUCCUGGAUUUGGACCGCCUUCGCCGCAAUCUCCUAUUGCUUUGUCUGCCGCCUCUCGCUCUUCCAGAACCUACCAAAGCUGAGCUACCACCACCUGAGCUCAAAGCUGGAUUCUCCUUUCUGAGAAUUUUAUUAUGGAGAAUCAUCGUGGUAACCUCAUCCAUCUUGAUGGUAUUUUUUUCAUUAAAAGAGCAGUCACCAAGGACUCAUACGAAGGAAGAGCGAUGUUAGCAAGACUAGCAUCCUGAUCUUCUCUUCAACUUUCUCGUCAAUGCUGAGAAGGUCGGUGAUGAUCUUCUGAAAAUGGUUGAGAUGCUCCUGCAUACUCUGUCUCUCAAUCAUCUACAGCUAGUAGAACUGCCUCUAGAAGAAGAGAGUGUUGGUGAGAGACUUCGUCAUGUACAACUCCUCGAGCUUUGACCACAGCAUCGUCGGAAAAGUCUCACCAAGCACAUGGAUCACCACCUCAUCCGCUAGAUAUAAGCGGAUCAUACUCAUCACCUGCAUCUGGAGCUGCCUCCAAUCCUGCACCUCUAUGGUAGUCAGCUUUUCGUCGCAUAAGAGAGCAUCGAUCAAUCAUUGCUAGAUGAGCACAUCUUUCACUCUUGCCUGCCACAAGGAGAAAUUACUCUUUCCAUUAAACCUGUUUAUCUCUAUCUUGAUUGUGUUUAUGUUCUUCAUUUUCUAUCUUGUUUAUCAUCGCUGCAACUUAUGCUCUGACACCACCUUGCUCUGAUACCAAUUGAUGCAUCCAAGAUCCAGUACCACACAGUGCAACAGGAAGAAAGAAAAAACAAAAUAAGAAACAAAUAUAAAUACAUAGAUCGGCCUCAAACUUACCUCCACGAGGUGUGCAAGCUUCACUAUGAGAGAAUAAAAUAAAAUCAACACAAGAAGAACUCACCACUCAACUCUUGUAUAAGAAUCUCUUAAGCAAAAGCCCCAAAAUUCUCACAAAAGCUCUCUAAAAUCUCUGUUGAAAUCUUUCUGCACCUCCAGGACGUCAUCAGUAUUCCGACACAGCAAACAGUUUGUCAAUCGGAGCUACAUAGGCUCCAGAAUCAUAAAAAUACUGUUUCAGUAGGAAUACAAAAUUCCAAUCAAAUCUAGAACCAUCCUUGGCCGUUCGAUCAUGAUCGGUUCAUACCAAAGCCAUCCGAUCACGUAAAAUACCCUCUGAUCAUGCUCGGAUUCGCUCUCAGCCGUUCGAUCGUGAUCGGCUGCGAUCUGAGCCGUCGGAUCAUGUAGAAAAUCACCUGAACCACACGUGGAUCGCGACUUCGAUCCAUGCGGUUCCCAUGGACCACCAGUGCCCCGCGGUCCAUGGUGGACCGUGCGGGGAUGCUGGCCUGGGCGGCCGCACGUGCUGGGCCGGCACGCGGGCGCACCCGCACUAGGCCUACUCAGGUGCUGGGCCGUGCGUGCCUGUGCACGUGGGUCUCCAUCGGGCCCAACAGCGCUCCGUCGGUCCCUGCUGGCCCACCGUAGGCUGCCACCAUCUCGUGCAUCGUGUCAUCCUUCUUUCGUACGUAUCUUCUCCGUUUAGACUUCGUUUGGGCUGUUCUUGGAUUUGUUAGACUCCGUUCAUCGUCCUGAACCUCGUUGUGGGUUCAAUAUUGACGGAACCUCGAGAUGUAUUUCCUAACAUGUACUCAUUUUCAAAAGCAGAAGUUCUGCACUACAAAAUCCUGUAAAAUUAAGCUCGAAGUUUCAGCCUCCAAAAUUUCAAUGGUACACUUCAAGGAAUGGAAAAAAGAAGUAUAAUUUAUAUUGAGAAGAUAUUGCAACCAAGCCAAAAUCUCCUGGUGAUCAGUGAGAACUAUUAAUAAAAGAAAGAGGGUCAGUCAGACAACAAGGUAACGAGGGUAGUCAUGCUGCUACUUAGCGAUACCAAAAGCUAGCAACGAUUUGUCCCGCAUGCCUUCUCGGAUUUACGUGUUCUAAAUAACAUCAGGAUUCGAUCGCAUGCUAAUUUGAAAAGUGCAAGUAAUGCAAAGAACAAAUUCACAGAGAGUACAGCAAGCUUUUUGCUAUCUAUGGUUUCUUGAUUGCUUUGGAUCUUCUCAACAUUCCCUCUGCAGUUGAUAAAAAAACAAAUGACAAACAUUAGCAACUUCACCGACAUGCAGAAUUUUGGUUUCUUCUGAUCAUUAGCUCCAGCUUGUAGUAAUAGCACUUUCAUUUUCUACUCAAAAAAAANNNNNNNNNNNNNNNNNNNNNNNNNNNNNNNNNNNNNNNNNNNNNNNNNNNNNNNNNNNNNNNNNNNNNNNNNNNNNNNNNNNNNNNNNNNNNNNNNNNNNNNNNNNNNNNNNNNNNNNNNNNNNNNNNNNNNNNNNNNNNNNNNNNNNNNNNNNNNNNNNNNNNNNNNNNNNNNNNNNNNNNNNNNNNNNNNNNNNNNNNNNNNNNNNNNNNNNNNNNNNNNNNNNNNNNNNNNNNNNNNNNNNNNNNNNNNNNNNNNNNNNNNNNNNNNNNNNNNNNNNNNNNNNNNNNNNNNNNNNNNNNNNNNNNNNNNNNNNNNNNNNNNNNNNNNNNNNNNNNNNNNNNNNNNNNNNNNNNNNNNNNNNNNNNNNNNNNNNNNNNNNNNNNNNNNNNNNNNNNNNNNNNNNNNNNNNNNNNNNNNNNNNNNNNNNNNNNNNNNNNNNNNNNNNNNNNNNNNNNNNNNNNNNNNNNNNNNNNNNNNNNNNNNNNNNNNNNNNNNNNNNNNNNNNNNNNNNNNNNNNNNNNNNNNNNNNNNNNNNNNNNNNNNNNNNNNNNNNNNNNNNNNNNNNNNNNNNNNNNNNNNNNNNNNNNNNNNNNNNNNNNNNNNNNNNNNNNNNNNNNNNNNNNNNNNNNNNNNNNNNNNNNNNNNNNNNNNNNNNNNNNNNNNNNNNNNNNNNNNNNNNNNNNNNNNNNNNNNNNNNNNNNNNNNNNNNNNNNNNNNNNNNNNNNNNNNNNNNNNNNNNNNNNNNNNNNNNNNNNNNNNNNNNNNNNNNNNNNNNNNNNNNNNNNNNNNNNNNNNNNNNNNNNNNNNNNNNNNNNNNNNNNNNNNNNNNNNNNNNNNNNNNNNNNNNNNNNNNNNNNNNNNNNNNNNNNNNNNNNNNNNNNNNNNNNNNNNNNNNNNNNNNNNNNNNNNNNNNNNNNNNNNNNNNNNNNNNNNNNNNNNNNNNNNNNNNNNNNNNNNNNNNNNNNNNNNNNNNNNNNNNNAAACAAAAAAAAGUUGUUGAAUCCAUGAUCUUUUGAUAAAUAAGAAACAUCAAACCCAUGAUUGGGGGCAAGGCUGCCUUGUAUUAACGACAUUGUUGCACUUAGCAGCAAGGCUGCCUCACUAAGAAUGUGUAUCCUGCCACCAAUAUGCAUGCACAAGGUAAGAGUUGAACACUAAACAUUCUCAAAAAAUGAAUGAGAAGCAAGACUAAUGAUUUUCAGGGGCCUGAAAAGAGUUUUGAGAUUGCACAGGACCAUUUGUCCCUUGGUCUCUUCUGUACCUAGGUCCCUGGGAGUCGCUUGUUUUAGCCAACCAGCAGGAGUGGACUGGGUGUUUGUAUACCACUCAAGUUUCUUCUUCGCUAUCCACCAGCUUUAAUGCUGGAUCCUGUAAAUUCCUUUCUUCUUGAAUAAAUUCCUGGUGGCAUUUUGCCUCCUCAACACUCAAAAAAAGAGAAGCAACAUGAUCACAGAACCACAAUCUGUAGCUUGCUUUUGCUUGAGACAGGACCAGGAACAAAACUAGAUAAAACAGUUACACAUGUCUAAAUUAUAGAGACAGGACAAAACUCAGAGAAGACGAUCAUUGGCUAGACAGCUUGGCCUAUGUUUCUAUAUUUGAAUCUUCAAACUUUUAUUUUUUAUUGAGAGAAGAUUGGGUUGCCCCAUUUGAUUCAUUUCAUGACGUAAGAAACUAGUACAAGAGAAAAGACAACAAGAGGACAACAAACAGAGAUUAGAUACUGCAUGCUGUCUUGAAAGGAGAAUGCAUGUUUCAAGAGGAAACACAAUGCCGCAGCCCAGUAGGAGAAUACUUCAGAAGUUGAUGCCGGAAUUUUUAGGCUAUGUUAACAGUUGCUAAUCAUACCUUAAUUGAUAUCUGUUUUCAGAUCUUCUUUAGACUUCUUUUUGAACCGCCUAUAGUUUAUCCUUAACUGGAGGAGAUAUUCUUGCUCAGCACAACUAAAAGCAUCCACAAACUAAUCAAAUGGAACUUGCACCCAAAUCUUUAUUUGAUUAAGUACAGUAUGUGUCACAAUUUGAAGGUUCAACUGUUUCCAAAUGAAAUCAAUGUCAACAAUAAUAAACAUGGGCCUUUCCAUUGAAGGUCCAACUGUUUCCGAAUGAAAGCAAUGUCACCAAUUUGAAGAAAGAAUUUAUCAAGCAUUCUUUUGCAUUCCAUCAUUUUUGUGCCUUUCCAUAUGCUUUAAAAGGAAAUUAUUGGGUUUUAAUUGUCUGCAUUGCAAUGUUACUAGAUUUCUGAACUUCUUUUUCUUGCAAUUGUAAAUAUGAUGCCUGAACUGACCAAGGAAAGUCAAGCACUUUUAGUCUAUUGCUCAUGUUCACUUAACUGGAAAAGUGCAAAGAAAAUAAGAAGCUACUAGCUACUUAGUGCAAAAAAGACGGAACACAAAGCAUAGAACAUAUAUUAAGCACUAACAGAGAGAGUCCACUCUCUGACCUCAGAUAGAAUUGUCUUUGACCAAAAUAUCUAGCUGAACCGAGACGGCGGAUUUCCAACACUUCAGCUCAUUAACUUCCCUUCUCCUGAAAGGAUAUAAAAGGCAACACCAGCGAAUCAGCCAAGGGGCUUCUGUUCUCAAAGGUUUUGGUGCUGUGUAUCUGCUACAGUAGAUCAAAAUGCAUAAUGUAAUCUAGGCCUGGCUCAGAAAUGAAAAAUCUGAAUUUGGAACAUGAGAUUCGCAUACCCUAGAUGCCUUCCAUUCCUUAAGAUCCUUGACUUCGGAUUUUGUCUUCUCCAGUAGUAAAUUAUUGUGAGAAAUCUCCUUGUGAAGAUCUGGGAGAAUAUCACCAAAUCUCCGAUUAAGCUCUUUAACAUAUUCCUCCAAAACCAAAAGGCUCAGCUCCAAUGAUACUCACUUUCUGCAUCAAGAUCUUUAAAACUGCAUCACUGGGUAUUCUUCCACUUAAAUUGUUUAUUAGCCUCUUUUGAAGGACGAGGCGGACUGCCCUUCGAAACAUCACUCUUAGAUUCAUUACCAUCUAUGCCUUUGAUAAGAACAUCAACUGCAGAAUGAGCAGCCUCAUCUUUCUCACUUGGACUUGGCUCUGAUCUCAGAGAAACAGCAUCAGCUUUCUCAUGAGGCACUUCCAUAAGAUCUUGAAGCAUCUUCUCAACAGCAUCAACACCGUAAACUUCUAGGAAGCUCAAUGUGCAAUAAUUCUCUGAUCCAUAAUGGCUUACCAGAUUCAACCUCAUAUAUCUAGGAAGCUCAAUGUGCAUGCUUAACAUUCUCUGCGGUGAAAGUCCCAAGAAGGGUCCAUGUCUCAGUGGGGUAGCUCAAGCUUCCUAACAACCCAAAAUCCUUGAAAUUAGAAGAAUAGUGCUCCCAAUUUGCAAUCUCAAUAGCAUCAACCAGGGUCUCCUCCGAGAGCUCAAUGACAACGAACUUGUCAUUGGUCGAACAAUGAUUCCUAAAGUACUUGUCCCGAUCGCUGCUUAAGAUAUUGUAUACCCCUUUGGCCUCCUUGUUGUGGGUCAUAACCUUAGCACCCUUUGCAGAGGAUGCAUAAUUAUAUUCUGCACCUCCAGGCUCUAGCCUAUGUGCCACGUCCCAAAGCAGAUUGUUUGCCUCAUUUUCUUUCCUUUGCAUCGUCAAGUUUCGGAAUUCAUCGAGCCCAAUGUUUGUAAAUUCUGUGAAUGACUCACUCUUGUCAUUGAUUGGAUCAUCCUUUUUUUCUUCAAUAUUUUCUUGUUUAUGUACUUCGGGUUCUGAGAUCAUUUCAUUCUCUGUAUCAUGGCCUCUUCAAUCCCGUUAGUUCCUCUAACUGGGUUUCGAGGACCUUUUGAGCAAUAACUGGCAGAACAGUUUCAGCGAAUGGAAAGGAAAUAGGAAUCUAGCUACACCUCUGUGUACUGUACUGACGGUUUUUAUCUUUGUUGCUGACAUAAAAAUCUAAAUAAAAUUGAAGAAAUUCAAUAUUAGACUUCACAAAGUGAAGUUCGCGAUGCAAAUAUGUACAUUAAGAAAACCUCAUUUAAUAUAACAAUAAACAACACUUUCCUUUUGACAUGAGUUUCUUUCAAUAUGUCUUUAUUCAUCUUUAUUCAUCUGUUUUUUCGAGGCUGAGAAGGUGCAAAUCCCGAUUGCCAUGUACCAAGCAUGGCUUGAAUUUAGUGCGACUCGUAGGGAUUUAGCGGUUAUAUAUCUAUAUAUUAUAAUCAUAACUGUUAUCUUUUGUUAUUUGAGUCUGUCAUAUACUCUUUGUAUUAUAUAUUUUUUGAUAUAGUGAAAUUUUUAUUCAUCUUCAUUUAUGGAUGUAGAACAAAGAUUGAAUUAUAUAAAUCAUUAUCUUAUUUUUUUUGCGUAUUAUUGUUUGUUAUAAUUUUAUAUUUCAUACUAAUUAAUAGAUAAUGUUGUAAUACUAUGACCACAGCCGAGAUGAGGGCACCACAAGGAGAAGACAAGAGGUACAACUCUUAAAUGCUCUUGGCUACAUAUCCGGCUUGCUUCUUCUUCUUCAUAACCUUCCUGUUCUUCACAUGUAGAGAGAGUGGCAGGAGAUGAUUUGCUUUGACCGGAAAAUUGUUUAGCCGGGUUGAUCUCGAAGGAGUCGGCAAUGGAUUAGUCGGAUGUUGGCUUUUGGCAAGAGUGUAGGAGGGGGAAAUGGUUCCCUGGUACAAGGGGAUUGGACCGUCGGGAUCUCACUUCCUGUUGGAUAAGGAUCUAACGGUUGUGCAUGGCUUGGAAUCCUAUAAUCAUUUUAUUUAGUUUUAUUUUUUUUAUCUGUUUGUUUGUUUGUUAAUUAUUAGAAGGGGUUUGCAAAUACUAAGUCUCUGACUAUUUACUCUCUCUACUUUGUUUAAUAGGCUCUCAAGCAAAGGAGAAGAAACAGAGGCAAGAAGUCCCCUAGAUAUUUCAUGUCUUUUUAGAUCUUGUCAAAUGGAACACCAACUGAGAUUUUGGUAUGCAAAUACGUAGAGAUUUUGCCAACUUGAUCAGCUAUCAUAUCAAAUUUAUUAAUUUCUGGCUUUCCUUCUUUUCAUUAAACCAAAAACAAUACCAAACAUACUCGAUACGUGAAGCUUGAUGUUUUUUAUUAAAAUGAAAGUAAGAGGACUACUAUGGGAUACAAGUAGUUUGGAUAUGUCAUGGCUUUUUCAAAAUUAUCAUUUCCAUCAUUUUCCUCAACAGUGAUGACACAUUAUCUUGCUAUAUCUGAAAGGUAAAUAAUAAAAUGAAGUAACCUGCUUGAAAAAUCAUAUUAUUUUAUUCACUAUCAACAAAUUGAUAUAUCCUAAUAUUUUCAAGGACAGAACAGAGUUGGUGGAUUUCACCAUUAAAAUCCAAAUGGACAUAUUGGCAGACAAGCCUGAAUAUAACCAAGCUAUGACACAGACACAACUAAAGCAAAACCAAAGGUAGCAAGUCAAAAUUCUUCGUGGCCUUCAAAUCUGCUACCCUGCAGCGGGCUUCUAUAAAUUAAUCUAAGCCCUGAGCAUAAUAAUAUUUAUAAAUCCUCUUUCCUCGAAAGAUAGCUGGCCUCCAGUCCUCACGCCGUGCCACAUGCCACAGAAAACAAAAAUGCACGGAAAGCACGUGCAGAGGCGGCGGGUGUCGAACAAAUGAAACUCGACUGGAUCUAAAAUUCCGUCAUCUUGUCGAAGUAUCGCUUGACCUGAACCAAGUUGCCCAUCCCAUGGUGCCUAAGCUGCUGCGAGUAUUGUACGUCCACAUGCCAUAAUUUCCUUGUGGAGACUCUCUCUCAUCCUAUUACUUGAUGUGGAGUCAACAUAGUGGCUGCCCUUUGUUCCAUCUGGUUCACACCUUUUGCUUCCGAGCAUGAAUCUUUUGCGGUGCCGUAGGAUGCGGUGCACCGUGUCGACCAUCCAUCACUCAGCAAACAACGCACAUACAGACAUAUUCGACGUAGAAUGGACGGCCAAUACGAUGCACCCCACUCGCGCGCCUCAGAGGAUCCGGCACUUGAUCUGUUUCCACCUCUAGCUUCCAAAGCCAUCAAAAUAAAACUCAUCAGAAAGCACUGAGAAACACGAGAUGCGCCACAAUAAAAAAGAGGCCCAUUAGCCUCUCAGCAUUAUUACUGCAUACUCCUUUUUUUCUUUAAUAUGUUGGUUUGCAUCACAGGAUAAGGGACGGACAAACGCCACCUGCAAUGCUUCUUUUCUUUAGUGACACAAGGUUGGCUUGGAUCACGAGAAUGGACACACACAAACACCACCUCCAACGAGCACUUCUCCCCCUUGUCCUUCUUUUACCCUUUCCGGGUACAGAGUCGGUGGCGGGAGCGUGACAUGAGUUAUGGACAAGGGCAUUAUCUUGCCUCCUGAGCCUACGCCGCCGGUCCCUCCAUGGACUCCACUGUAAUGGAAAAGCCGCGGUUGACUGCUUGCGUAAUUAAUUACCGAUCCAUACGACUAUUUUUCUUCAACAUCUGGCCCCUAUCCCAUCCCUCCCUACUCUGAAAUCCCAACUCUACCCUUCUCCACCCACGUCCUCGCACGCCCAAAAAAAUUUCCUAUCGUCAUGUGCACAAACUUCCCCAUCCCAUCCAUCUUCUUCUUUGAUUCCUUAUAUAUCCACCAACUCCGAAGGAAAUGGUUCUCAACCACGAAGUAGGGAUGCAUCGAUUCCAUCCCUUGUAUCCUCACCUCGGGAUCGAGCUUCAACUCGCAGUGCGGUGCCACCGCACUAACGCGCGAUCCCUUGUAUCCUCCCACGCUGCAGCUGGUGAAGAGAACACAUCCGUAAUCUCCGUGCAUGAUUGGCCAACCAUGCCACAACAUCGCCGCCCGCAGCAUGGGACGCCGUCCGCUUGAGCGCCGUCCACGAAUCCUCGCAGGAUAUAGGCAACGGAUGCUUGGGGGCCGGGUGGUUGUCCAUCGAGACGGUGAUAACGUUGGCUUUGGUCACCGGAUCUGAGUUGUCCCUUUCGUGUGAAAGAAUGAUUGGUUUUCUUUUAUGAUGUCAACCGUUAGGUGGUGUUCUACAUAGCUUUCAAAAUAUGAUAAAUCUCCUCUUUUUCGUUGCAGCACAAAUCAUGAAAAUAACAUCAUGCUUUGAAAUGUAUGUAAGGUACAAUCCAAUGGUUGAUAUUGUGAUAAAAACUUUCUUUCAUGCGAAAGAUCGAUGCAGCCCAAACCCUUGACCACUGGAGAAGUGAAGUAGUCAUUACCCUAAAAAUUGGUUGUCUCGUUAUAUAACAGGGUUUGGGUUGUAUCUUGGUGCCAAAGAAUGAUUAAUCUCCUCCUUUUACAACGUCGACCUUUCUUUUUUUUUUUGAUGAAAUGAGUUAGAAAAGCCUAACUCAGAGAAUAUUUUAUUAGUAGGCUUAGUAAUACAUACAUAUAUAUAUAUAUAUAUAUAUAUAUAUAUAUAUAUAUAUAUAUAUNNNNNNNNNNNNNNNNNNNNNNNNNNNNNNNNNNNNNNNNNNNNNNNNNNNNNNNNNNNNNNNNNNNNNNNNNNNNNNNNNNNNNNNNNNNNNNNNNNNNNNNNNNNNNNNNNNNNNNNNNNNNNNNNNNNNNNNNNNNNNNNNNNNNNNNNNNNNNNNNNNNNNNNNNNNNNNNNNNNNNNNNNNNNNNNNNNNNNNNNNNNNNNNNNNNNNNNNNNNNNNNNNNNNNNNNNNNNNNNNNNNNUUGUACAGGUAUUUAUAAUAUGCAAAAAGAAAACUAAUUAUUUAACAGCACCAGAGUUUAUAGACUCUGUUAACUAUGAAUGCUGCAUACUACAAAUGAAAGACUCAGAAGCUGGGGACUGUUGUGGGUAUCUCUUCAGUCUCUCACAAGAGUAGAUACCAUAAUUAGGUUUCUGAUAGUCAGGUAUUCAAGUCUAAGCCUAAACAUCCAAAAUCGAAGGGGCUCAACAUCAGCUGCAUCCAUUGAUUUCUGAGAUCCGGCAUCUGCAGCCUAGGUCACCAAGCUGUAUUAUGAAUCAUGUCUGCAAUCAUAUAACGCUAAUUUUCAGAAUUGCAAGAUCUUGGCCGCAUUCUCAGUGUUUCAACCAUCAUCUUUUCAAAGUUUUCCUAACCCCUGUAUUGCUAAUGUUAAUUUUUGAUAGGUGGGCUAUCUAGCAAAUUCUUGACAGCAUUUUUAAUUAAACGAAGUUGAUCAGUUUCUUCACCUGUAAAAUGUGUUGCCCACAUCAUGAAAAGUUUUUCGAUUUGCUGAACUAAUACUCUAGGAAGGUAAGUAUGAAACUCAAAUCAUCUUUUGUUACGUUCCUUCCAUACACACCAGAAUUCGACCGCUAAUAAAAUGUCCAACCCCAUCUUAAGUGAGUGCAUGGGUUCUUGCGAUCUCCAGUGAUCCCAAAGCUGGGCUUGGGAUGGAGGUUGUUGGGUAUAAGAUACCCUUCAGCCGAAGUUCGUAUCAGGAGUGAUCCUCCUGAAACUCUACCGACUUCCGACUUUGGGCAACAUCUUCCCAAACUACUCCGACGGUCGAACUUCCACAGUGUUUCCAAGUUCUGCCGAUGGAUAAACUCCCACAGCUCCUUCCACAAGUGUUGAUCGGAUUCUCCUGACGGACGAACUCCUGCCGCAUCUCCCGGGCUUCUCCAAUGAUAAGCUUCUUCAGUCAUCUAUCAGGCUGCUCCAAGUGCUCUCUGGAUUCCACUAUCGGCCGACCUCCUACAAUGGUCAGCCGUUCUCCGGACCUCUUCCAGAUCUUUUCUAACAGGAUUCGAUCGACUCCAAUUCGAAUUUCUUCCAGAACUUCAUCAGUGGUCGAACUUUCCCAACAGCAGAUCUCCACGAUGGACGGACUCUAUCUAAGUUUCUACAGCGGUCGACCGUCUUCUGGAUUUCAUCCGAGCUCCUACGGGAGCCAGACUUCUGCUUCGAACUCUGACUGCAGGUAGGCUUCAUCCGAGCUCCUACGGGAGUCAGACUUCUUUCCCGAACUCCGACUGCAGGUAGACUUUGUCCGAGCUCCUACGGGAGCCGGACUUUUUUUCCAAACUCCGACUGCAGGUAGACUUCGUCCGAGCUCCUACGGGAGCCGGACUUCUUUUCCGAACUUCGACCGCAGGUAGACUUCGUUCGAGCUCCUACGGGAGCCGAACUUCAGCCCCAAGCUCCUAUCGCGGCUGAACCUCAUCCGAAUUCUGGUAAGGGCCGGACUCCGGGCUNNNNNNNNNNNNNNNNNNNNCUUCGAUCGAGCUUCCUCGACAAAUGAUCCCCAUCCGGACUUCUACGGAGACCGGACUCCGACCGAACUUCUGUAGCGGACAGAUUCCAGACGAACUCCUAUGACACACGGACUCCAGCAGCCGGACUCCUCCAGCGGAUGAACCUCUCCAGCGUCAUCCGACAUCCACUGUCGGUCGAUCUUUUGUCGAAUUCUGCGUGAAAUCGAACUUCGUCUACGAAAAACCUCUGACCGAGCUCCUACAGCAAAUGACCCUCGCCUGCAGUACUAGCACCCAAGGCACCCAACGGUGGAGGGCUCGCCAGCAACAUCCGAGCUCCUCUCAGAUGGAGAGCUACUUCUCUCUGCCGGACACCUCAAUCGAGCUUCGGUCGACAGGCCUGGACUCCCUGGCAGGCCACAGUAAUAGCCACGACUCUGCUCCACUUCCUGUGACGGAUUCCGCAUGGCUCCACCACUCUCUGGCAAGUCGCGACAACAGACACUACUCCACUCCCCGCGACAAGCUCCACGUGGCUCUGAAUAGCCCCUGACGCCACUACUCUCCACAACAAACUCCUUAUGGCCUUGAACGGCCCACUAUCAGGCGGUUACAAACGUCGCUAUCAGUCUAUUGCAUCCUCCACCUAUAAAAAGGGGACCCCAGAUACGUUAUUCUCUAAGCUCUAAUCUCUAUCUCAAAACUCUGCAAAAAUUUUCGUUCGAGCACUCCAUUCUUGUUGAGGCAGAGAACUGACUUGAGCGUCGGAGAGUCUUGCCGGAGCACCCCCAACACCGGUUUAGACUUUCUUUGCAGGUCCCGACGGCGACCGCGACUCCCUUGACUCCAGCUUCUCCGACGUCGGUGGAUUUUUGCACCAACAGGAUUGGCGCUAGAGGAAGGAGGGCUGUGUCUUCACAGUACCCUUGUUCUUAAAGGAGCGCUCAACGGGACCACCUCCGAUCAUCUUCUCCGACAUCCUCUUCUCCUUCCUCUACUAGAUCUUCGCCCGAUGCCUCCCCGCAAAGCAUCCACCCGGCGAUCCACGGCCUCCGCGGCCAGAUCUCAGGCUCCGACCUCACCUUCAGUUUUUCAGGCUCCUCCUCCUCCGACAACGACGGUUGGCACGGAGCAAUUUGACCUACUGGUUCAGCAGGUCAGAGGCCUCACUGAAGCGGUGCAGGCCAUGCAGCAGCAGCAACAGCCGCAGGUGUCAGUGCGACUGGAGAGAACGUCGUCGGAACUCCAAAAUCCAGCGGUAGGAUGGGCCACUUGGGCCAGUCACCCCGCCUUUCUCGGAAAGACGAAUCCAAGGGUGGAGAGCCCUCAGUCAGAUCACGAUUCUACCCUGGAAGAUCUCUACCUCCAUUCUGCCAGAAGACCCUCGAGAUCCGUAGUCGAGAGGAUUUCCUGGAUCGAAGGCUCCAGGAGAUGAACCGACGGAUCGAAGAACUCCGCCACGCUCCCCUCGUUUACGGUGAGGACAUCUGUACUGACCCUCCUUUCUCUCAAAUGAUCAUACAGGAACCCAUCCCACCGAACUUCAAGCUCCCUCAAUUCGAGAGCUACGACGGGACCUCAGACCCGGUCGACCACCUGGAGGACUUCCGGACCAUGAUGCUGCUCCAUAGCGCGUCAGACGCCAUCUUGUGUCGAGCUUUUCCAUCUACCUUGAAGGGAGCAGCAAGGAACUGGUACUCGGCACUGAAGCUGGGUACAAUCUUCUCCUUUGACCAGAUGAGUCACCAGUUCGUGGCUCAUUUCGUCAGCAGCCGGCGUCCCCAGCGAGGUUCGGAGUCCCUCAUUAACAUCAAGCAAAAGGAGGGAGAAUCCAUCCGAACUUACGUCAACCGCUUCAACACCGCCGCCCUGGAGGUCCGAAACCUGGACCAAUCGGUUGCAAUGACCAUCUUAAAGAGCGGCCUUCAAAAGAAUGACCUCCUCUUCUCACUGAAAAAGAAGUAUUCCAGAGACUUUGCCGAUCUGCUGGCUCGGGCCGAAGGAUAUGCUCGAGCGGAGGAAGCCUUCAAGCUGAAGGACGAGGCCGUGAAGGAGCGACAGGCGGGCGACUCCAGCAAGCCCGUAGUUGAAAGAGGACCGAGUGAAGCUCGGUCACGUUCUCGGACUCCUCCCGGGCAUAAGCGCGCCCAGACUCCUCUCCGAACACACAGGCAGAGAAGCCCGGACCGCAGAAUUCGACGGAGCUCGCCCCCAGGAAGAUUUCGCAGCUAUGCCCCCCUUAAUGCAUCGAAAACCCAAGUACUGAUGGAGGUCAGGGAGUAGCUCCCAAGGCCGGAAAGGAUGCGCACACACCCCGAGAAACGCAAUCCUAACAAGUUUCGCCUCUAUCAUCGUGACCACGACCACGACACAGAGGAAUGCAUUCAACUCUGAGACGAGAUCGAGGAGCUCAUCAGACGAGAUCGGCUCGACAGGUUCAUUCGAUGCCGGCCUGAGGGUAGAGAGGAUCGGCCAAGGGCCCUGCCGCAACUUGAGCCACCGAGGAGGGAAGAGCAGCCCGGAGAUCGGCCUCCAAUCAGGAUCAUCAACUCCAUCUCUGGAGGACCUCGACGGGGAGCAGACCUUCUACGAUCAUGGGACUUGAAAAACCUGUAAAUGUAUUACUAACAACUUUACUUUAAAUCAAGAUUCCUUUCAGAUUUGCAUAUCUUUUUCUUUCAGCAUGGACUCGUAACGACAGGGGAUAACCCCUUUAGACAAUCAAAACAAAGCUAUGUUAGGAACAGGAGGAGAACCUCAUCCUAACAUGAGCAAAGUUGGAAGUCCGGUUAUUUUAAGACCGGACGAGGGGAGAGGCCCAUAUAACGGCCCUUAUGUGCCCCCACAGCCAUGUUAGGAACGGAAAGAGAACCUCGUCCUAACAUGAGCAAAGUCGAAGGCCCGGUUCUCCUUAGAUCGGAUGGGGGGNNNNNNNNNNNNNNNNNNNNNNNNNNNNNNNNNNNNNNNNNNNNNNNNNNNNNNNNNNNNNNNNNNNNNNNNNNNNNNNNNNNNNNNNNNNNNNNNNNNNNNNNNNNNNNNNNNNNNNNNNNNNNNNNNNNNNNNNNNNNNNNNNNNNNNNNNNNNNNNNNNNNNNNNNNNNNNNNNNNNNNNNNNNNNNNNNNNNNNNNNNNNNNNNNNNNNNNNNNNNNNNNNNNNNNNNNNNNNNNNNNNNNNNNNNNNNNNNNNNNNNNNNNNNNNNNNNNNNNNNNNNNNNNNNNNNNNNNNNNNNNNNNNNNNNNNNNNNNNNNNNNNNNNNNNNNNNNNNNNNNNNNNNNNNNNNNNNNNNNNNNNNNNNNNNNNNNNNNNNNNNNNNNNNNNNNNNNNNNNNNNNNNNNNNNNNNNNNNNNNNNNNNNNNNNNNNNNNNNNNNNNNNNNNNNNNNNNNNNNNNNNNNNNNNNNNNNNNNNNNNNNNNNNNNNNNNNNNNNNNNNNNNNNNNNNNNNNNNNNNNNNNNNNNNNNNNNNNNNNNNNNNNNNNNNNNNNNNNNNNNNNNNNNNNNNNNNNNNNNNNNNNNNNNNNNNNNNNNNNNNNNNNNNNNNNNNNNNNNNNNNNNNNNNNNNNNNNNNNNNNNNNNNNNNNNNNNNNNNNNNNNNNNNNNNNNNNNNNNNNNNNNNNNNNNNNNNNNNNNNNNNNNNNNNNNNNNNNNNNNNNNNNNNNNNNNNNNNNNNNNNNNNNNNNNNNNNNNNNNNNNNNNNNNNNNNNGGGAGAGGCCCUACAACGCCCUUAUGUGCCCCCACAGCCAUGUUAGGGACAGGAGGAGAACCUCGCCCUAACAUGAGCAAAAUCGAAGGUCCGGUUACUUUUAGACCGGAUGGGGGGAGUGGCCCUGCAACGCCCAUAUGUGCCCCCACAGUCAUGUUAGGAACAGGAGGAGAACCUCGUCCUAAUCUGAGCUGAAAUCGACUAUAUCAGGAAUAGGAGGAGAACCUCGUCCUGACGCCAACUAAGAUCUGGUCGUUCAAGACCUGAUAAGAAAAAAGAGAACCUUUUCGAUGGCUCUUCUACGCUCCCGCGACCCCGUAAAGAGUUGGGGAGAACCCUUACUUAAAAAGAGGAGGGAGAUGCGAAGGAAACACGACGGACUACACCAGCGACAAAUGAAAAAUAAAUUACGUCAAAGAUACAGGGGGCCUCAUCUUAGUGAGGACAGAGAUUCUUAUCAAAAAUCUCCAGUCUCCAAGAGGGCUCUCAACACAGGCCAAGGAUAAGACGACUUCCUCAAGGCGACGAGAAGUUCAGACCCCCGAGCUCGAGUUCUGAAAGGAAGCAUCAAACUCAAGUGGCCCCGGACAAAUCUGUGGCCAUAAACAAAAUGGACAGGUCAAUGCGAUGACGAUUGGGUACCUUCGAACGACAUCGAUGUUGAGCAAGGCAAAAACAGAAAGAAGUUUGGCAAACGACAACUCAACACAUGAGUAGAAGAGGUAAUGAAAAAAAAAAUUUAUUUCAUUAGCUAAGUAUGCAUUACAAAGCCCUGAAGGCCAAAAAAAAAAGAUGCCAAGAAAAGCAAACCAACGUGGUGACGACCUGAAACCUUCAGACAACAUUGACAUCGAACGAGACAAAAAAUAAAAGAAGUUCGACGGAUGACAAUUUAACACAAAGUGCGGACAAGGUAACAAAAAAUAUUCUUUUCAUUUCGAUUAACAAGGUAUACGUUACAAAGCCCUGAAGGCCAAAGAAAGAAGAACAACAUGACAAGACCUGAAAAGAAUACAUUAGAGACUGCUUCAAGCUUUCGACUUCUCCUUCCAGUUCCAUCUUUCUCAAUAGUAUUUUCCAGUACGUAUGGUGAACCCAUCGACUCUCACCCUCCGCCUCGUUCCACCCCAUUGCCGAAACUCUAACCCUAAGGGAAAAAGAGCGGGAUAGAACCCAAGGGGCGACGGCGGCAACGACGACCUACUUCAAGAAGAAUCGGAAGUACCCCGGUGGCCGCGGUAACAUCGGAGGCAUGCACCACCACCAUAUUCUCUCCGACAAUUACCAUCCCAGGUACUUCGGCGAGGUCGGCAUGCACUACUUCCACCGCCCCCGCAACAAGUUCUACUGUUCCGCCGUCAGCGCCGACCGCCUCUGGUCCCUCGACCCCGACGACGUCAAGAAGCCCGCCGCAGCUUAUGACGGCAACUCCAUCCCCUUGACCGGUGUCGUCCCGUUCGACUACUUCAAAAUUCUCGGGCAGGAUGCACCCACCGGCCAGUUCCGUUAUUAAAUCCCUGUUGUUAAAGGAAUUCUCCCUCGAGUCCCCUUCGAAGCUGUGGGAGCCUUCAGUGGUAGCUCGGCAGCCGCUGAACUUGCGGGCCACCAUUUCCCUUCUCCUCCUCCUCUCGAUCCUUGGCAUCCCCUCGAGACGGACCUCUGGGGCAGAAGCCCUGGCGGAUGAACUUCUCGAAAAGGCUCGGGGGACUGAAGGCUCGGCGUCGUAAGGGACAUCGAUGGCGAGGGCCGCCCGGGCAACUUCUACGUCCGUGCCUGCAAUAAGAGAAAAGAGAGAAGGAAAUCUCGAAAAAUCGGGAAAGUUUGCGAAUAAACCCUCGGAAGCUAAAAAAACAAAGCAAGAAGAGGAAGGAACAACAACAAUGAUAAGAGAAGUUUCAGGACUAACCUAGACUGGCCCAACGAAGGCGGGGAGCCGGUGGAGAUGGCGGGGAUUGAUGCAAAGAAUGCCUAGGGUCGAAAAGGAUGUCGAUGGGUGGCAGAACUCUCAGAUAGAAGAAGGGCGCCAACUGGACUCUCAGGCGAAGUGAAGUCCCUGGAGGGAAGGAGUGGGUUUAAAUAGGCAACAGGGCCUGGCACAGUCAUGACGGCGGAUAUCCCUAGGCCGACCAAUGCCUGCCACGUGUCUCACUCACCAUGGCGUACGGUUGACUACGGACGGGGCCAUUAUUGCGUGGCACUUGGAGCAACGCUCCAGCGGAAAUUUCGAAAAGUCUCUUCGGAUUGUCCCGAUUUGAAAAGACUCCGGCACGCGUGCAUUAAAUGCCAGAAUAUCUGAGGGCGAUCGCAUGCAGAAUUCAAGGGAGCAACUUCGGCUGUGAAAAUUUUUCUAUACUUUCUUCAUUCGAAACUCGAAAGUAAGGGGACUGGUGUUGGGUAUAAGAUACCCCCCAGCCGAAGUUCGUAUCAGGAGUGAUCCUCCCGGGACUCUACCGACUUCCGACUUUGGACAACAUCUUUCUAAACUACUCCGACGGUCGAACUUCUACAGUGUUCCCAAGUUCUGCCGACGGAUAAACUCCCACAGCUCCUUCCACAAGUGUUGACCAGAUUCCCCUGACGGACGAACUCCUGCCGCAUCUCCCGGGCUUCUCCAAUGAUAAGCUUCUUCAGUCGUCUAUCAGGCUGCUCCAAGUGCUCUCUGGAUUCCACUAUCGACCGAUCUCCUACAAUGGUCAGCCAUUCUCCGGACCUCUUCCAGAUCUUUUCCAACAGGAUUCGAUCGACUCCAAUCCGAAUUUCUUCCAGAACUUCAUCAGUGGCCGAACUUUCCCAACAAUAGAUCUCCACGACGGAUGGACUCCAUCCAAGUUUCUACGACGGUCGACCGUCUUCUGGAUUUCAUCCGAGCUCCUACGGGAGCCAGACUUCUGCUCCGAACUCCGACUGCAGGUAGGCUUCGUCCGAGCUCCUACGGAAGCCGGACUUCUUCCCCAAACUCCGACUGCAGGUAGACUUCGUCCGAGCUCCUACGAGAGCCGGACUUCUUCUCCGAACUCCGACUGCAAGUAGACUUCGUCCGAGCUCCUACGGAAGUCGGACUUCUUUUUCGAACUCCGACUGCAGGUAGACUUCGUCCGAGCUCCUACGGGAGCCGAACUUCAGCCCCAAGCUCCUAUCGCGGGUGGGCCUCAUCCGAAUUCUGGCAAGGGCCGGACUCCGGGCCCCUACCACAAGCGGUCUGCUCUAAGCUACCACUACAAGCGGUCUGCUCCGAAUUUCUACUACGAGCGGUCCACGUCGGAUUUCUACUAUAAGCCUCCACCCAAGCUUCUAUUGUGAACGAAUUCCUUCCGAACUUCUAUUGCAGACAAGCUUCGGCCGAGCUUCCUCGACAAAUGAUCUCCAUCCGGACUUCUACGGAGAUCGGACUCCGACCAAACUUCUAUAGCGGACAGAUUCCAGACGAACUCCUACGACACAUGGACUUCAGCAGUCGGACCCCUCCAGCGGAUGAACCUCUCCAGCACCAUCCGACAUCCACUGUCGGUCGACCUUCUGUCGAAUUCUGCGUGAAACCGAACUUCGUCUACGAAAAGCCUCUGACCGAGCUCCUACAGCAAAUGACCCUCGCCUACAGUACUAGCGCCCAAGGCAUCCAAUGGUGGAGGGCUCGCCAGCAACAUCCGAGCUCCUCUCAGAUGGAGAGCUACCUCUCUCUGCCGGACACUUCAACCGAGCUUCGGCCGACAGGCCUGGACUCUCUGGCAGGUCACAGUAAUGGCCACAACUCUGCUCCACUUUCUGUGAUGGAUUCCACGCGGCUCCACCACUCUCUGGCAAGUCGCGACAAUAGACACUACUCCACUCCCCGCGACAAGCUCCACGUGGCUCUGAACAGCCCCUAACGCCACUACUCUCCGCAACAAACUCCUUAUGGCCUUGAACGGUCCACUACCAGGCAGUUACAAACGUCGCUAUCAGUCUGUUGCAUCCUCCGCCUAUAAAAAGGAGACCCCAGAUAUGUUAUUCUCUAAGCUCUAAUCUCUAUCUCAAAACUCUGCAAAAAUUUUCGUUCGAGCACUUCAUUCUUGUUGAGGCAGAGAACUGACUUGAGCAUCGGAGGAUUUUGCCGGAGCACCCCCAACUCCGGUUUAGACUUUCUUUGCAGGUUUCGGUGGCGACCGCGACUCCCUCGACUCCAGCUUCUCCGAUGCCGGUGGAUUUUUGCACCAACAGAGGUAUUAUCUUAAGGCCUAGAGUGGUUUACAAGUAUGAUCAUAUCUUUUGAGAGAAGCAACAUCGACCACUGGAUCAUGCAAUCACCACUUUGAGAUCUGCAUAGACAAACAGAUGAAAGAGAUUAUAGUGUUUUAAAAUCUAUGCAAUAUGCGAUUCAAUAGUUGACGUCGCAAAGGAAAAUUAAUCUUUCUUUUGUGCAAAAGACACAACACAAACUAUGAAUGAUGAUUGAAAUAAUUGCAAACAAGGCACCAGAUAAUAUACCAUAACACAAGUAAUAUACUAUGGUAUACAUUUAAUAUAACACAAUAUAUGCUUAACAUACUAUAGUACACAAAUAAUGUACUACAGUAUAUAGUUAAUAUGCCAUGAUAUACAAUUGAAUAACACAAUACACAGAUAAUAUAUUAUAGUACAUAGUUAAUAUCAUAUAGUGCGCGUGAUCAAUAUCCUCACACAGUUAAUAUAUAUAAUAUAGUAUACAACCCUAGGUACGUGCGCCCCCAUAAUAUACUACUAUCCAUGCUUAAUAUACCAUAAUACACACUUAAUAUACUAUAGAUAACUAUGGUACACAGAUAUUAUAUAGUACACAGUUAUAGCAUAUAGCCCACAGUUAAUAUCCUCCAAUUAAUACAUAGUUACUAGAUACGUAUACAUACUUGACAUAUCACUAUACAUAUUUAAUAUACUAUAGUACAUAGUUAAUAUUAUACUAUGAUACACAGUUAAUAUAAAAUAGCAUACAAACGUGUACGCACUUAAUAUACUACUGUACAUACUUAAUAAGUACACAGUUAAUAUAAUACAGUAUAUACACUAUAUAUAUACCAAAGUAUUGAGAGUGACAUAUAUCAUCUGUAGUGUAUCCCUGCUAUUUUCUCAUGGCAUUAUUGUACUGUUCCCUCUUAUUGGCUGCUAGUUCUAGAAGGACGGUAGGCAUGCCAAUGGGCACACGACGGCCAACACCAAGACCUUCAUGAGGGGCAUUGCCUAGAAGAUCCGGACCGACAACAUGCGCCGCUACUUUGAGUUGUUCUGGGAGUGUCAUCAAACACCUGCCACGGGCUUCUCUUUACAUGGUAAAUAAAUCUCUCACACCAUUAUUCUAAAGUUUGCUAGUUUCUUAUCAGGUGGUAGUUGGGGAUCCGGUUGCCAAGGGUGGAGCUUGACGGGAGGCAGCCUAGUUGUAGCUCAGCAUCGCCUAUCAUCUGCUGCCGGCCAAACGCCCAACGAAGUCCAACUCCAUCAUCUCAAAUCUUCUGAACACACAUCUACUCGGUAAAAAAGGAUCUAAAUACACUUUUUUUUGGGUAAAAAAUAUCUAAAUAUGCUUCAACGAGGAACUUCUGUCAGAUGAGAGGGAUGGGAUGAGGAAGUUAAGCACGUGAAUUUAGGAAUUUUUUUGAGUCGGUGAAGGGGUGGGUGGGGAAGGGUAUGGUUGGGAUUUUAGAGUGAGGGGGGAUGGGAUAGGGCUGGAUGUUAAAAAAAAACAAUGGCCCUGUGGACCGGCAAGCACACAACCGGCCAAUGGGGACCUUUCCAUUACAGCGGGGUUUCACGGAAGGACGUGUAAUUAAAUACGUUUUUUUAUUUGGUAACCGGAUGAUUUAGAUUAAACAAGAAAAAUAUAUCAAUGACUCAAAAUGAUAUAUUACAUAUUUAGAAAGAAAGUUCAAACAUAGACACUCAUAUGGUAUACCCCAUUAUAUAUAUAUAUAUAUAUAUAUAUAUAUAUAUAAGAGAUAGUAGUUAGGNNNNNNNNNNNNNNNNNNNNCCUACUAUAUAUAUAUAUAUAUAUAUAUAUAUAUAUAUAAAGAGAUAGAUUUGGAUAAGAUCGAUUGGAUCUGGACUCUGAUCAGAUCAAAAUUGGACAAUGGAGAUUGGAUAAGAUCGAUUGGAUCUGGACUCUGAUCAGAUCAAAAUUGGACAAUGAAGAUCCUACAUCGAUGAUAAAGCUAUUGGACGUGAUCUACUAUCUCAAAAUUACUUGUAUACCAACAAUCAUAUGAUUUGAAGAUUUCUAGUCCAUGCAUCAAGUGAUCAAAAAAUAUAUCUAAUUUUAUUUUAUUUAGACUAUUCAAUUCUUGACUAUUUGAUAUAUAGAUCAGGGAUCUUCAAAUUAUAUGAUUUUUGUAUACAAGUAGUUUUGAGAUAGUAGAUCACAUUCAAUGAUUUUGGAUCAUUGAUAUAGGAUCUCUAUUAUAAAAUUUUGACCAAGCUGAUUCUAAAUCCAAAUCUAAUUGACUUGAUUCUGACUUGAUAUAUAUAUAUAUAUAUAUAUAUAUAUAUAUAUAUAUAUAUAUAUAUAUAUAUAUAUAUAUAUAUAUAUAUAUAUAUAUAUAUAUAUAUAUAUAUAUAUAUAUAUAUAUAUNNNNNNNNNNNNNNNNNNNNAGUAGUAUUGUUUAUUUCUUUAUAAAUAUUUAAGGUCUCAAAGAAUUGUAAUCAUUGCGAUAGUUUUCAAUAAUUCUAUAAAAUAGGAUUAUAUCUACACUCAAAAUGAGUUGGACCAAAAAGCCAUUUUGAUUUUUUUUUUUUUAGUCUUCUAUUCUCCCUCCUUGCUCUUGGCGACUUUAGGGGGUAAGGUUAGACUGGGGUCCUUGAUGCCCUUUGGGUGGUAACGCUUUGUAGCGAUAUCUAAAUAGCAUGUCACCCAACAAGUGGCACUUAUUAUUAUAUUGUUGGAUGGAUGGAGACUUUUAGGGAAUGUCCUUUUCUAAUAACCAAGUCUAAAAUAUUGGAUGCAAAACUUUCACACACAAUAUGCAUUUUUAAAACAAGGCUUUCAAAAGUAAUGUAUUGGAUGCAAAAGACUAUCUCACUUUUCACCAAAGUUUAUUAUCUCUAAGCAAUGGUCUGAGGCCAGACGGUUUGACCUUUGUACCGUGGACUCUCUAUUAUGGUUGCCCUAGAAAAUAGUCGGUUACAAUAAUAUAAAAAAAUAUUUGAUUCAUGAUUGAAAUCAAAAUAGAUUGAAAUAUGAAUUAAAAUAAUUAUGUUCCUCAAAGUGUUUGUUUAUAAUCGAAAUCAGAAUUAAAAUGAAGAUUUGAAUAUUCAAGAGAGAAUCAGAAUUGAAUUUUAGGAAGAUUCAAUUCGAAUCAUAUCUCUCAAAAUAUUUGGUUUGCGAUAGAAAUUAGAAUUAAAAUAAUGAUUUGAGUAUUUAGGGAAGAAUCAGGAUUGGAUUUUAGGGGGAUUGGACCAUUCUAAUUUUAUCCGGAAUCAAAAUCAAAAUAAUUUUUUUUCAACUAAAUAGUUAAAAUAAAAAUUAUUCAUUCUUAUUUUUAUUUCUGACACCAAUCCUCUCCAACCAAAGCAUCCUAAAUAUCCCAUCCUAAUAUCAAAAGCUACAUGUGAGCAAACAUUACGAAACUACAGUUCAAUAGCAAGUCCACUAUUCCGGAUGAUCUCCUUCUUAAAUGGCUUACUAGUAUGGUUGAAAGUAGGCUCCACAAUGGAUUGUCCACAAUCAAUGCUUUUAACAAUCGGAAAAGCAUCAAAAUCGCCUACUUAAAAGCUUACAAGCCAAACGGGGUGUUGGGGUGGUNNNNNNNNNNNNNNNNNNNNNNNNNNNNNNNNNNNNNNNNNNNNNNNNNNNNNNNNNNNNNNNNNNNNNNNNNNNNNNNNGGNGGUUGGGGUGGGGGGGGUUUUCGUACCGCCAAUCACCGCCUUUUCAUGAGACCUUUGAUAAAGGCAGAGCCCAUCAGCCCUUUCCUCUCCCCAUUUAGGGUUCAACGUGAAUAAGAAAUAAGAUAAGGGUAUUUACGUCAUAAAAUAUUUAUUUGAUGUUCACCGCGCAGUGCCGUAGCCCCAAAUCCCCAACAACUUCCCAUUAAUUACGGAGCCGCAUCCGCUCUCGCUUCUAAAUAUCCCCACUCGUUGCUGUUCCCUGCUACUCUGGCCUCCCCUCCCAUGGCGAUGGCGGUGACCAGACCCCACCUCCUCCUCUUUGCUCUUCUUGUCCUCCUCCUCGUCGCUAAUGGCGCCUUGAAGCCUAUCGAGUACCAAACCCUCGUCGUCACCUCUCUCCGGAGCCCCUCGGCUCUCCUCCCGGACGACGACUUCCUCACCUGGACCACGGACGUCCAAACCCUCUCCGACGAGACGGGCCUCUCCGCCGGUGCCACAGCCGCUUCCUCCUCUCUCCGCGUCCGCUUGGCCCACCUGGACUCUCUCCUCGCCGCGAACUCCACCCCGGAGCACCUCCUCAGCCUCCGCCUCGGCCGCGACGUCGCCCGCGUGUCCAACCUCCACGAGAUCCUCGCGGCGGCGAUGGCGGCGGGGAACGCCACCCGCGCCAUCAGGGGUCGGCGGAGGGGGUUCAGCUCCUCGGUGGUGUCGGGGCUUGCCCAGGGCAGCGGGGAGUACUUCACCCGGAUCGGAAUCGGCACGCCGGCUAGGUACGCGUACAUGGUGCUCGAUACCGGCAGCGACGUGGUGUGGCUCCAGUGCGCCCCCUGCCGGCGGUGCUACUCCCAGACGGACCCCGUCUUCGACCCUCGCCGGUCCCGCUCCUACGCCGCCGUCCCCUGCGACGCGCCGCUAUGCCGCACGCUGGAUGUCGCCGGGUGCGACACCCGCCGCCGGUCGUGCCUGUACCAAGUCUCCUACGGCGACGGGUCGAUCACCACCGGCGAGUUCUCGACGGAGACCCUCACCUUCCGCCGCGGCGUCCGGGUGGGGCGGAUCGCGCUAGGGUGCGGCCACGACAACGAGGGGCUCUUCGUGGCGGCUGCGGGGCUGCUGGGGCUGGGCAGAGGGAGACUCUCCUUCCCUUCCCAGGCAGGCCGGCGCUUCGGCCGCCGGUUCGCCUACUGUCUGGUAGACCGGACCUCCUCCGGCUCCGGCGCCUCGCCCACGAAGUCCUCGUCGGUGGUGUUCGGCGACUCGGCGGUGCCCCGAGCUGGGGCGGCGGUAGCGUACACGCCGAUGGUGCGGAACCCGAAAAUGGACACGUUCUACUACGUGGAGCUGACGGGGAUCAGCGUGGGGGGUUCCCGGGUGGCCGGCGUCUCGGCGGUGGACCUCCGGCUGGAUCCGGCAACGGGGAGGGGAGGGGUGAUCGUGGACUCGGGGACGUCGGUGACGCGGCUGGCGCGGCCAGCGUACGCGGCGAUGCGGGACGCGUUCAAGGCGGGGGCAGCGGACCUGAGGGAAGCGCCGGGCGGAUUCUCGCUGUUCGACACGUGCUACAACCUCGCCGGAAAGACCGAAGUGAAGGUGCCGACGGUGGUGAUGCAUCUCGGAGGCGGGGCGUCGGUGUCGCUGCCGGCGGAGAACUACCUGAUCCCAGUGGACACCAAGGGGACGUUCUGCUUCGCCUUCGCCGGGACCGACAGUGGGGUGUCCAUCAUCGGGAACAUCCAGCAGCAGGGGUUCCGGGUGGUCUUCGACGGCGCCCGAUCCAGGGUGGGGUUCAUGCCUCGCGGGUGCUAGUUCUGGUGCCUGCGGCCGUCGGCGUCGGGCGGAGAGCUCGAAGGAUUCUGUGUUCCGUCCGGUGUUGUUUCGGAGCCGUUACGUUUUAUUACCAGUAUCAUAUUAUGUUGACAAGCUUGAAAAGAAGCGAGUGUGUUGUGGAUUAAAAGAGCGGAAAGACGGUAAAGCUAGAAAAGCAAAUCUGCAUUCCAAAUUCUGAGAUCGCUUUUGUCCUUGUAACUGGGUUGCUGGUUUCCGCUAACCAUAUAAGAAAAUAGCCAUUGUAAUGACCACGUUGUGGGCGAGCUUCUUAUUUUAUUUAUUUUAACUAGUGCUUUUCCGUUGCUUCUGAGAUAUAUCAUGGGCCAUGAGAUGGACGUAGGCAAACAAUGGGAGGUGUUUUUUUUUUUUUUUUUGGUAACAAACAAUGAGAGGUGUUUGAGGUGUUUUUUUAACCUGGACCAGCAAACCAUUUUCGGAACAGAAACCCAAACGAUAUCUCCAAGAGAGCAUCAGAAAACGAAAUUAGAGUACCAGUUUUUUUUUUUUUUCCGCUAGGAAAAAAGAUGCAAGCAGGUAAAAAGCUGUUGGGAAGAAAGAGAAAGGAAGCACAUGGGGCAGCGCGGCGUGGCAUCGCCUGUCGUCUUUCUUCCGCCUCGGGUUCCGCGCGUGGGGGCCCGGACAAUACGGAUGCUCUGGGCAGCAGUGGGAUAUGGGCUCAUCACCAGCUGUGAAGGCACAUUACAUACUUUUUUUUUUUGGCAAAAACACAUUGCAUACAUUCAUCCGAGUAAUUAAUCUGAUUAAGUUUUGUUCUGGGUCUAAAGGAUAGCUCUCAGUGUAGAGGAGUUCCACAAUAUUGUUUGCUGAUCAAUUGAUUAGAUAAUUUAAGAAUUCCUUAGGCCAAGGUUUUUAUGACCAAUUAUAUUUUCCAUUUUUGAAACACCGUCGCCUUCAGCUGAUCCCAUGGAAGUUGCGACUGCAUCUGUAUGUAAAAUAAUGUGAUGAGAACCAAUCUCCUAAGUACCAACCUGUUGCUUUUCCGCAUUUUCAAACAAUGCACGUUGUGUUUAGUGAGCCCCAUCCGACCUUUAAGGUAACGAGGGCACAUUAAAUCUAAUGGCAUUGCGCUAUCACAAGGCCGAUAGCUAGAGGACGUCGUUGGUGUACUGGCAAGGACAACGUGCCACCGUCCAGCUCCGCAGUGCAAAAGUAGGGCUCCGACUCUUGAGACCUCAGCUCUCGCGCAACUUCUUACUGGCUGGGUGGGCCAUUUAAGAACUCCGAGUACGAUGCUGGGGCGGCAACAAUCAUUUCGCGCAGGUGACGGUAAAAUUACUUGCGUCAAACAUUGCUGCAAGCGUGGCGAGAACACAAACCACUCUCGUGAGAAGCGUGGCAACCUUUUUUCACCAUCAGGAGCAGGUAUUACAUUUGAAAUCUCGUCUAUCCAUCUAACUAAUGAAAAUUCCUAACUGGAGAUAUAUGCACGUUUUAAGAGCCCGCUCUUCAAUGAUGAUGGCUCCAACCUCUCUUUUUCUUCUUGUUUUUGUUCUUCUUCUUCUUUUUGCGUGCGUGCGUGCGUGAUGAACAAUCUUUUAAGAUCCCACUAGUUCUGAUAAUUCAUUAUGGAUUGAAUCCUGCUGGAAAAAACCGGAGUGCACUUGCAUAUCCGAAAGAAUAGAAGCGAGUCUCCCAUUUAAUGAUUCAAUGGUUCAGGGUAAACGUACUCCAUAAGCAAUGUAAAUUGACAUUGUCUAAAAUCCAUAUCUUUACACAGCGGCGGAUUCAAAAAUUUUUUUUUGUAUGAGAUCAAUAUAAUAAAAGAAGCAAGGAAUCCACGAAGAAUAAAUAAAAUAAUAAUAAAAUAUUAUUUUUUAAAAAUAAUAAAAAAUAUAUAAUAAUAUAUAAUAUAUAAUAUUUUAAAUAUUUUUUAUAAUAAAAUAUUAUAAAAAAUAUUAUAGUAAAAUUUUAGAUAUUAUUAAAUAUUAAAAUUAUAAUGAUUAAUUAAAAAUUAUUCUAAUCAUAUAUAUUUGAUAUGAGUGAAAAAAAUGAAAAAGAUAAAGAAAAAAACUAAAAGAGUGUUACAAAAAAAGGAAGUUAAAAGAAACAUACGUAAUUCCUGUUUUAGAAGAGAAACAUGAAAAAUAUAAGAUUUUUCAUUGUAUUUAGAUUGAUUAGGAUAUAAAAAAUAAAUUGAUAUAGGAUUUAAAUAUAAGAGGUGGACGGAUGGAGAUCAUGGGGUUGAGAUGAAAUAUUAAAAGAUAAAUAGAGAAGUAAUGGAUAAAGAAAAAAGAAUGAGAGAGAGAAGGAGAGAGGUCAAAGUGAUGUGAGAGAGGGAGAAAGAUGGGAUAUGUGAGUUAUUAAAGAGAGAGAAUAUAGAUUAUAAUUAUUCUUCUCAUUUUUUGAUGUGGUCAGUCCUUCUAUGAUAUAAAAAAUAAAUUGAUGUAGAAUUUAAAUAUAAGAGAUGACGGAUGAGGUUGGGAAGAGGUAUUAAAAGAUAAAUAAAGAAGUAAUCAAUAAAAAAAGAGAGAAGGAGAGAAAAAUAGGACAUGUAAGUCAUUAAAAAAAAAAAUUCAAAUCAUAAUUACUCAUUUUAUGUGAUCUUCUUUAUCCUUUAUUUUUUUAAAAUUUUAUAUGAGAUAUGGAAUCAAUUCAUAAAAUUAGUAUGAUCAAUUUUAAAUUUUCAAUUAAUUUAUGAGAUAUGGGGUCAAUUUUUUUAUCUUUUACUUUAAUUUUUUUAUAGGGUUAAUUGAUCCCAUAUUUACAUGCAUACAUCCGCUAAUGUCUUUAUAGUUGCCUGAGAGGUAUGAGAAAAAGAAACGGCUAAAGCUUUGCACAGUGCUUAUCGGCUUUUGUCAGGAGAAGGCAAAUUUUUUGUGCACUGCGGGUGGUAUAAAAAAUCUGACGUGGAGCGCACUGUCUUAUCCGAUUGGUCCACGUAGUCACCGCUUUUCAAUGUGCAUUUUAUACAUGCAAUUUGAUUUUUUUAUUUAAAAAUUUUGUAUGAUGAAAAUAUCUCUGUUUUUUGAUAAAAUUAUGACAUCCUGCAUCCAAAAAUCAUAAUUUUAUCUACAGGAUGUCAUAAUUUUUUUAAAGAACAGAAGUAUUUUCUUCAUUCAAAAUUUUCAAACAAAAAAAUAAAACUGUAGGCAUUAAAUGUGUAUUAAAAAGUGAUUGGAUGAAAAUACUCCUUUCAUAUUAUGAUAUUUUGGACCAUAUUAUGAUAUUCUGAACUAUAAUACGUCAUAAGAUGUCAUAAUUUUUUUCAAAAAAUAAAAAUAUUUUCGUCAUACAAAAUUUUUAAACGAAAAAAUCGAUCUGCAGAUAUUAAAUGUGCAUUGGAAAGCGGUGACUACGUGGAUCAAUCGGAUAAGAUGGUACAUUCUACAUCGAAUUUUCUACACCACCCGCAGUGCACAAAAAAUUUCUCGUCGGGAUAAAUACAAUAAUCCGUCCAGCCAUGGAAAUUACAAUAAGCUCAUCCUUUCAGCCAAGUGGUAAUUCUAGAUGGCUUCUGUUAUAGUUCUCCUAUUUGAAGCAAAUUAAUGUUCCCAUUCGGGAGAAUGGUGCGCUCAAAAGUAAAUGUAUGCAAUACCAUGAAGAUCAUAUUGUAGGGCCAAAGUUGAGUGAAAUCAUGAAUUCUUGGAGCAAUAUAGUUCAAGCAGUUGGGAACACUUUUCCUUGAUCUAAAGAUAGAUAGAUGUAACGGUCAGCAUGUUCAUAUCUCAAGAAUGUCUAAAAACAAAUCAGCACUUGCAUUACUAAACAAGUCAUUAUGCUUGAGGUUCUAACAAGAAUGAAUUUUUAUAUUCAAGGAAAUAAACUGAAGUAUUAAUUACAAUUGCAAUAAAAUCAAGCGUCAUUACCAGCAGAAUAAAUAUCCUGGCGACAGUCACAAGAACACAUGUGAUGCAAUAUAUAAUAGUAAACAUUUGACCAAGAUGAAUUUGUAGGAAAAUAUGUAACUGUUGCUUCAUUCAUAAAACUAAUAUGCCAAUUCUGAAUGCAAUUGAUGGGCAAAAACUAGAUAAGAGGGAAAGCACGACAUCCAUAUUCACAAAGUUUUUGCUGCCAAUGAAUGGUCUAGAGAAUUUUGCUAGCUUAUACAGAAAACGGGCCUAGAAACCAAAUCAGAGAAAAUAAAUUGAAGGAAAGGCAUGAAGAAGCAUAGUAAGCCAUAUCUGCUGUCCUGAUGUUAAUUCUGCAUUCCAUGCUUCCCAGCUUUUUGACAAAAGCUCCAGGUAGCUGAAAUUAAAACAAACAUAAUUAAUUCCUUGGUAAGCAAAAGUAUUCUCCAUCAUUAAAUAAUAAUUAAUAAUAAUGAUAAUAUUGGAGUGUGAUAGAUGCAAAGCAUGAUGUAUAUAUCGAUCACCUAAUUGGUAAUAAUUUCUAUGUCCUUGAUCAGUAGGCUGAAAGGCUGCAGAAAGUAGUCUCCUGUAAAUGACACAGUGCUGCAUAUGUUACAUCUUAAUAAUGUGCAACAAACAGAUUAGAACGUUCAGCACCACCUUAGACAUUUGUUGGGAGAUGAUACGUCACCUAGACAGAAGACAAACUAAUAGAAGAUCCGUGAUGAGACAUACAAUAUUAUCAUCGUAACACUAAUGGAGAUGAAUAAGCAUAAUCCCAACAAUAAAUAUGCCACUCUAAAAUUGCGAAACUUUGGUGAUGACAGCCAUAAAGCUACACUGAAAGAGGCCAUUCAGUAUACAAUACAACAGUGGAAGAUUCGGAUAACUUCGGACUCCACCGAUCCUCACUCUCAAAUUGAAUCUUCCCAGAUGGAACUGCUUGACAAACUCUGCCGAUUUUGACUUCGGCCCUGGACCCCGGCUUCAGCCACUAAUCUUGACUUGAGGUGCCAGCUUUAAGCUUCAGUUGCAUGUCUUAGCCACAAGCAUCGGAGCAACUGUCAUCUCAAUCCGAAGUUCAUUAACCAAGCCAAAUUCCAUCUGAAGGUGCCGUGCUCCUUUUUAAAUUCAAAGCAACCCAGCUGGCUCUGAAACAGAUAAGACAGGUGUAACUGCCGAGUCCUAGAACUUUCGGCUCCAAAUUUCGCCACACUAUGCCUGAAUCGGUCAGAACAGAUUGGAAAUACCGCACCUAAAUGGCUCUCGCCUCUAUCCAUAAAUAGAGGUCUAAAAGGGACCCUCAAAGUACGCACACACUCUCUUCCGCACGCUCUUUCUCACUUGUUUCCUGAGAUCUGAUUUGAGCGUCAACAGAUCUUCGCCUGAGCCAACUCUGAUCAGAACUUAUUUUGCAGGUCACCUUCCCAGAAGGAUACGCUAGUUCCUCAACUCCAAUCACUCCGGCCACGAGCCAGAUUUCAGUGGCAGCAAAAUUAAUGUCAAGGUAAUAAAAACAAACUAUCGGCUGCCAAAGCUCCAAACUCAAGAGAGAUUGCAAAUAGUGCAUUCGAAGAAUAUCUAACGCAUUUGAUGAAUGGUUAAAAAGAUUGCUAAAAUAAAGUUCACUUCGAAAUAGAAGAAAUUUCCAGUAUUAAGGCAUAUAAAUAAUGCUAUAUAACUUGAAAAAAAAAAUCUGUACAGUUCAUAUACAUGAAGUCCUUUCUUUUCUUUUUUUGUACAUUUCCAGGAUGAGUUCAGAGAUUGGGAGGCCAAGAUCGUACUUCCUCGUGUCAUUUGCAUGGAAUAGACCCCAAUGUGUCUCUGUGGGUUCACCUGAUUUGAGGUUCUCAUCAAAAAGAGAAAAAAUAAAGGUCAAAACUGGAACGCCAGGUUUGAAAGGAGUUCCCUUUAUCGGAUGCCCUGUCACAGGUUUCACAAGCUUUUGAUUAAAUAUAGCAGCAUUUUGCAAUGAAGCAGCAUCAUCAUCAGGAUGUCCCUCUGAAGGCCAGCCAAUCUCCAUGACAACUAGAGUUAACUUGGUGAACCCAAGAGAAAAUGCAGCAAAAUUCAAUGAAUCAACCAAAGGAUCAAAUAAGUUUGUGUACAGAAGUCCAUUGUUUGGAUUUGUGUAAUUGAAGAUUUCUGGAUUUUCUGAAAAUAUAGCGAAGUCCAGUGGAAUGUGUGGGGUCUCUUUGAAGGUCAGAUAUGGGUAAAGAUUCAACCUUCUAAAAUGGUAUCCUCAUUCCAGUCCAUCUUACCUGGAAACCAGUUGGUGGGAAGGAAAACUUGAGUGUAAUUGUAAGAUAGACUUUUCACAGGCAGCUGAAAUAGUAGGAAUUAGACUUGACAGUCAUAAACAAAGGCAUAAUUUCACUAAAAAUGAAGCCUGAUCUUACAAUGAUCAAAGCCAGCCAAAGGUUGAUGGAUAUACAAGGAUUGAAAGAAAUGGGCACAGAUGGUCGACAUAAGAUUUCAUGAUAAAUUUAUAAUUAAAAUUUUCUAAACUCAGUUCUAGGUGUCAACCCCUCAGAAAGGUAUUUUCGUGCUAUUCCAUCUCACCUGGAAUAAAAGUUGAUGGGAAGGCCACUUAAUGUAAUUCUAAGAAGGACCUUAUACGGGCAGCUCAAACAGUAGGAAUCAGACUUGAUCGUCAUCAUCAAAGCUACAAUGUCAUUAAAAAUGAAGUCUGAUCUUAGAAGGAAUCCAAAUGAACCGAAGGUUGAUUGAUAUAAAAGGAUUAGAAUAGCUAGCCCUAGAUAGUAGGGAUUGAUUUACUAAUGUGUGAGCCGAAAUAAUUUAGCUGAUUUCACAAGUAAUCAAAGCCAACCAUGGAUUGAUUUCCAACAGGAUUCACAAAGUUAAAAAUAGUAAAGACAGUAAUUGAUGGUUACUAAAGGUAUUAUAAAGAGUGCAAAUGAAAGCAUCCAGCAUAUUACCCAUAGUGAAUCAAAGAUCUAAAGCAUCACAAUAUUCAUAACCAAUAUUCUUGUUCCAUGCAAUAUCACUUACCACAAGCAACACCUAGACAAAGCAACAAAACAGACACCCUCGACAAUCAAACCACAUGACCAUGGAACUACAGAAGAGGAAAGAAAGCUAGAACACAAUGUCCAAGAAAAUAGAUGCAAAAAAUAAUCUUGGAGCUUGAUUUGAACAUAUUGGUUCAUUGUUUCAUAUAAAUUUGUUCUUUUUCCAUGGAAGUAAUGAGCAGAUCACCAAAUAUACUAGUGGAAAGAAAAAUUCCGAACACUUUUACUCUAAACAUCAACCAUCUAGAUAACCUUUUUCUCUCUCUCUUCCACUUCGUGAGCAGAAAAUCCAGAUAUAUGAGCAAAACCCAAGAAAAAUCAACCAAGAACCCAAAAUCCCCCUGUUGCAAAUCAUUCAAAACUCGAGUCAAACCCUCAACGAGAUUCAAAAAAUGAUUCAAUAAAAUUAAACUAAUAAGAUCACAAAUCUCAUAUGAUGAAUUUACUAGAUUUAAACAGAACCGGUACCACAACAAGAUUAACGAUCAAGCUGGAAAAGAAAAAUGAAAACUAACAAUGGAGUCGAACAGGAAAUUAAAUUUAUGAGGGAAGCCAAAUCCAUCGCUUUGAAGGUUAGAGGAACGGAAGCGUCACAAGAGAUCAAACGAGGCGGCGCGAUUCCAAGAAUCGCCUGCAUUUGGGCGCACCUUCGAAGGUUGGAGCACGAGAAGAAGAUCCGAUCGAGAGGAUGAAGAGGUGGAAGACAAAAAGGAGGGAUAGAGACGCCCAGCACUCUAGGGUUUGCUUCCAUUCCGAUCCCAUCGCAUUGCCUUACAAGAAGACGGACGCGAAGACGAAGAAGAAGCGGGAAGAGAAGGCCAGGGAGGGGGGAGCACGGGGAGGCGGUUCUUUUAUCAUUGAAGUCUAUUGCUUCUCUGGCGCGCUUACCGCUCAUCCAGGAACGAGGGAAGAUACUUCUACGUAAGAUCCGCCACCGAUAGGGAUCACCUAUAAAACUUGGGUUAUAUAUAUAUAUAUAUAUAUUAAAUAUUUAAAUUUAUAUAACUAUUUUUAAAAUUAAUAUUUACAAAUAUAUUUUAUANNNNNNNNNNNNNNNNNNNNAAAAUAAAUAGAUUGUAACCAUCCAUGUUUCCUCUAAUGUAUAAUAAUAUGCUUCUAAAAAAUAUAUCUAAACCUGAUAUUAGAUGAAUAGCUUAUACAUUUGCAUAAAAUUGAUAUAAUUAUAGAUUUGGACAUUAUAUAAUAAUAAAAAUUUAUAAUCUUAUUAUAUUUUAUUUAAAAUUUUUAAUCAAAAAUAUUUUUGUGAAGUAUGUAAAGUAUAUCAUAGUUUUAUAAGAUGGACAUAAUCGUCCCAUCUUGCAUAAAAUAAAAUAUAAUAUAGUAUUUUAAUAUAUAAAAUAUUAUAUAAUAUCAUCAUCAUAUUAAUAUAUUAUGUAAUAUAUUACUAUAUUGUAAAGUAAGAGGGCCUGAAUUCAUCUAGAUGAAAUAGAUAAAAAUUAAAUUAGAAUUUUUUGCAUGUAUAUCCUUCUAAACAUUCAAAUUUGUAUGAAUAUCCUCAUAAAAUUAUAAUUUAUAUAUAUACCCUUAUAUUUUUUUUUGUACAUCUAUCCAUAAGGAUAUUUUAGUUAUUUAAAUUUUAAACCAUUAAUCUUUUAAUGAUAUUAAAUGAUGUGGAUACAUAUACAAAAAUUAAAAAAAAAAUAUACAUACAAAAUAAGUAUUUUAUGAGGAUAUAUAUAUAAAUAUUAAUUUUAAAAAGAUAUUUAUGUAAAUUUAAAUAUUUAAGAGAGUAUACAUGUAAAAAAACUCAUAAAAUUUUUUAGGUUAAGAAUGAAUCAGUCCCUGCAAUCCAUUUAACGAGACUAGUUCAAUUUUAACAUAAGCCUUUUCACAUACAUGACCUCCUCCUUUUAAGAAAGUGACGUUAGUAUAACAUUUGCCCCCAGGGUUGUUACUUGGAAAUAUGCUAGUCGCGGCAAGCGGAUUGCCGGCACUAGUUCAACCUUAAACAUGGACAUAUUUAUAGACAACCCCUUGAUUGAUGUAAUACUAACGCACCUGUUCCUGUUCGUUGAACGACUAAGGCCAAAGUGCCGUCUCCAAUAAGGAGUUGGCAACUACAAUUAUCCACCAUCUAUUAAGGUGGCUCCAUUUGAAUGAUAUAAUAGGUGGUCACCUAUGGUCAUCUCCCAGGAUAACGAGAACAAUUUCAAGAAUUAUCCAUACCAUCUACCAUUGCCGAUCCUUGACACUAGAACGAGCAACUAUAAUACUUUUCUCAUAUUGGAUGUAAUGCCCUAACCCAACUUGUUGGAUCCGAAACCACACGGCCCAAAAUGCUAUAGCCCAAGUUAUGGUGGUAGCCGACUUAAAUUAUUUUAUACCCCACUAACUUUUCUAUCCCACCGAUGUGGGACUAUCACAAUCUUUUUAUUCAUCCUGAUGAGGUACCCUCAAUUCAGUGGAGAAAAUUUGACCACCGAGGAUAGUGACAGUAGCGUGAUGGGCUUGCCUCCGGAGUCUCAUAUGGAUGUGUACUGGAAGAAGAUUUUAGAGCCAAGUGGGUCCUAACGAGGACGUCAAAAAUUUAAGUACCGGAGAUUGUGAAAAUCCCAUAUCGAUGAGAUAGAAAAGUUAGUGGGAUAUAAAAUAAUUUAAGUGGGCUAUAACCAUAACUUGGGCUAUAGCAUUUUGGGCCAUGUGGUUUCAAAUCCAACAAAUUGGAUUGUGGCAUUACAAAUGAUAUCAGAGCCACUCCUGGAGAUACUAUCAUGUGGGGUUAUGCUGGAAUAGACUGUGCAUUCCGAUGAGGUACCUUCGAUCUGGUGGAGGAAGGUUGACCACUGAGGACGGUAAAAGCUGCGUGAUGGGCUUGCCUUCGAAGUUUCACAUGGAUAUGUACUGAAAGGAGAUUCUGGGGCCAAGUGGGUCCUGACAAAAAUGUCAGGGAUUUAAGUAGGGAAAAUUGUGAUUGUCCCACAUCGAUAGGAAAGAAAAGUUAGUGGGGUAUAAAAUAGUUUAAGUAGACUACAAACAUAAUUUGGGCUAUAGCAUUUUGGGCCGCGUAGUUUUGGAUCCAACAAAUUAGGUUGGGGCAUUUCAUUGGAUGUAUCUUUAGACAGUCUAGUGGGUUAGACGAGCUGGUCGAAGACUCAACAAAGUGUAUCAAGUCAAGAAAGAACUCUCAGUGAACUACCGCUACUAAAACUAUGGCAUACAAUCUCUGCAUGAAUUAGUUGGCAGUUUCUGGAGUCUUAUCCCGUAUUGGAGAUUUAACCUUACUUGGCUGGACGAGUGCUGAACUUUCA